rnacentral:lncRNA from 1 species
UUCUUGGCGCUUACCUAGUAAUUGAGGCUUGCUAAGAAUAUAUAAAUUUGUGUAUGUACUUCCUCUGUUUUGAAGGGAAAAUCGUACUGCUACAGGGAUAUGCUUGAAGCGGUGUCCUUACAGGAGAAGCUGUAUGCGAUUGCCGCCGACAUGUUGUAGAGCACAAAUGCUGGAGAGUAGUUCCCCUCGUCCUCUGUUCUGAAAUCAGUUAUUUUGCUCGCCCAACGGAGGAUGCCACCAUUGUACAGAGCAGGCUCAGGGUUAGGUUUGCACUGAAACAAAAGGGAAAAAAAAAGGAAAAGAAAAACAGGUUAAAGAGAGCACUCCAUCCCACUGAAGAAAAACGCAGGACGGGUACCUCAGUGUAAGCUCUGUAGUCGUAUCGUACUCCAUCUCCAUAUUCAUGCGACGGCGAAACUGAUCAGACCCAAAUCUCAGUGAAAUUAACAAUUUACUAAUGGAAGCUCAUAGACUCACCAGCUGAAGCUCGUCGAGACAGCGAUCCAGCUGUGAGGAUCAGCGAGACCAGAAUAAGCACCUUCCGAGCAGGAGGAAGAAGUGACGCCGCUGCAGCCUCCAUGACCUUGAAGAACUUGGGAUACUACCACAAGCCCACAAUGCAAGAGCUAGGUGUAGAAGACGAGCACACGUUAUGCAUGUGCUUCUCUCGCGCGUGAUUUCCUCCUUGGCCAACUCUGUAUGUAUGUGCACAGCAUGUACAUAUAUAUAUAGCCAGGAAGCUCGCUGCUUUUUACCUGAAGCUAUCUUUCACCUAGAUAACGGGGCAGGAUGAGGUUUGACUUGAGCAAAGGUGACUCAAAUAAUCAUUUUUUAAAAAAAGUUGGGGAUCAAAAGUAAAUUCUACUAACUCCGUUUUUGUUUACCCCGGUGGAUGGAAACGUAGGCUAAAUAACACUAGAGCUGUUGUCGAAAAUGACAAACAAAAACAGCGGUAGUAACGUAGUACUCCCUCCAUCCCAAAUUAUAAGUCAUUCCAAGAAUCUUGGAGAGUCAAAGUAUCUUAAGUGUGACCAAAUUUAUAUAAUAAUAUAAUAAUAUUUAUGGUGUCAACUAAGUGUCAUUAGAUUCUUCAUCAAUUAUAUUUUCAUAGUAUACCUAUUUGAUGUCAUAAAUCUUUAUAAUUUUCUCUAUAAUUUUGGUCAAACUUGAUAUGCUUUGACUCUCCAAGAUUCUUGAAAUGACUUAUAAUUUGGAACGGAGGGAGUAUAUCAUAAAUUGCUGCAACAAUAUUUUAUUGACAGCAGAACCAAACAAAUAACCAUAAUUCGUAAUGCAGUUUUGAGCAUGUGUAGUUCAUUUUUGCACUGGACUCAGAGUCGAAACGUACGCUACAGUUGUUGAGUAGCCGACACGUGGCCCCAACAUCCUGCGGGCCCAUAUGUCUGUGACGUAUACAUCAAUAAAUCACGCUAGCUCCUAUUCCUCAAAAUUAAAAGAAAAACCACAAUCGAAUUUAUUGGGUUCACCUUGUUGUGUUCUUCAUUUCUUGACUGUUAUUUCAAUUAUUAUCUCUUCUAGACUUAUCUAAGUUUUCUGCCCAAUGUGUACGCUUGAAUAUUCAGUGUUCUAAAUAUCAGAUCUGGUUAGUGGGUGGUGGGUUCUGAACUAACGAAAGGUUUAAACCUUGGAUCAUGCUCAUGCCUAGUCCAAUUUUACAGUUUAAAUUUUUUUACCACAGCUAGCUUAGUGCGUGGCAGAGCGAUUGCAAGCAUGUUGGACAUUGCAUUGCAUUAUUUUUGGCCGUUUGUAGACGUGGAGGCUGUUGCCGUCCAAGGCAGGAUAGCUAUGUUCCGGUUGGAUAGACCGCAAUACGCACAAAAAGUUCAAAGGAAGAUGUUGAGAAUGAAAGAAAAAGGCCAGCAACGAGAUGUGGUUGUGAGUAAGCCUGUAGCACAUGGAGGCGGAGUGAGCAAGAUGCUAAGUGCGUGGUAACCUAACUUUCGGUGUCUUGUACUUGCGGGCACUCGAGCGCACUACAGUUGGAAGAUAAGAGGGCGUAGGUACUAGGUAGUGUAGUCAGCAGUUGUCCUUUUGUAGAGUAAGAGAAAGAGUGCGUGCAGUAACAGUUCCAUAUAUAGGUGUAAAACGUGAAACCUCGAAACCACCUGCUCUAGUAGCAAUCCAUUACUUCUCAAAAAUAUUAUAAAAAGUACUUAGGAAUAAGAGUUCACCUGUUGAUUCAAUUGUCUAGCUCGAGCUCUAGUCAUUAACCUUUGUAUAACUAUCGGAGAAGUGUUGUGUGCAUCUUUGAUGUUCUCGUCACCGUGGCCAGCGAGGGCUAGUCCUCGCAGCAGCCUCACACAAUCAGAUGGUAGGCAGCCACCGCCUACGCUGCCUGUCUUCCCCCUCCAUAGAUUUUUUUGGAUGUUUUCAAAUUAUUUGUUGGAGGAAACAAUCUUUUUUAAUUCCUUUUUAGCUAAGUAACAUUGUUUAACCGUUUCCAUAUAUUUUUUAAAAAACUUUGUGUGGGGACCUCCCUUCGGGAGUCCCGCUGAUCACAUGUAUUAGUCCCUAAAUCAAUAAGCUAAUACAGUUAUCAUCACGGUUCAGUAUUUUAAGCAAUUAAUAAAAGGCGUAUAACCUAAUAAAGGAAAGGUUUUCACCUUAGCGCAGCGAAGAGAAGCAUAGGUGCCCAUCAACUAACAAGAUGGUCUAAAACACUUGGAGAUUUGCAUGAUGAAAAUAAAGCUGAGUACACUUAUGGUUGGUACUCAGCAAAUCCCAACCUUAACUAGUACAUUAUAUGCAUUAUGGAAGGUGGCCAAGGAGUAUGGUUGAGGCACAAAACCUAUGCCUAAAGCAUCUCACAUAUGCAAAUUGAAUUUAAAAGGUGAGUUCUGUAAAGACUCUCUAUAUGGGUUCUAUUGUCUAGAGGCAUAUUCUUCACUAUAGUUUUUUAUUGUUGGUUUUACUUCUUCUUUGCUUUUGUUUUUUUAUUUGGAUUAUCUUGGUUCCAUUGUUCUCUUAUAGUUAUUAUAUUCCUUUAGGUUCAUAACUUUUUAAAUUUUUAGUUAUCCUUAUGUGUGCACCUAUAUUGGCAUUAUUAUAUAUAUUUAUUACUACCUAUUCUUUUUAUGUUACUACAAAACGGGUUGGUUACUAUAGCAUACGGCCCGCCCGUGGAGAACCAUUUUCCAGGGCGGGCCACGGGAUGACCCGCCCUUAGAAAUGGGGGUGAUUUCCUAGGGUGGGUGAUGGGUGACCUGCCCCAGGAAAUCACCAUUUUCAGAGGCGGGUCACCCCAUCACCCGCCCCUAGAAACAGCCCCAUUUCCAGGGGCGGGUGACAGCAUCACCCGCUCCCAAAAAUUAUUUCUAGAGGCAGGUGAUGACGUGGCCCAUCCCUAGAAAUAGGUAUGCCAUAAAUCCUUGACACAUGAAUGCGCCAUGGACAUCAUCAGCAUAACACUUGGCAAUCUUGUUUUAUGUGUCUUUAUGCCUUUUGCAAACUCAAAGCCAGCCUUGAUUGCAUAGUCCUCACUGCCUCCCUGAAUGUGACUAUGUCAGGAAACCAGCUCACAAAAAUAUAAACCGUAGCUCACGAAAAUAAGUGUCAUAUAUAAACCAACAGAUAAGACAUGUCGCAACUCAACAUAACCACAACCAAAUGAUAGAUCCCACACAACACAUAAGACAUGUCACAUUACAUAUGAAGUUCAUAGAUCACAACUCAACAUAACCAAAUGAUAAAUUUAUUGACAAAUAGCACUGCUACACUAUCCAUUUCUUCACUUAGGCAUUAGCUACUCCUGAGGCAAAGAUCCCAAGCAUGACACCUACAAUCAAGGUCACAACAGCAAUAAUGGCAGCCAUGUUGCAUCCACCCCCAGUAGCCUUAUUUUUCUUCGCCACAACAGCCUUGUUUUUCUUCCCCAGAAGAUGCUUCAACUCUUCCACUUCCAACUUCAGUUCAUUAACAUGCCCUUUCAUUUCUCCACACUGGAUCUUCAAUUCACACAUCUCCAUCUUCAUAUCACAAUUUUCCAACUUUAUCUAACUUAUCUCAUUCAAUAAACCAAUGAUUGUCGACAGCUGAGGAGGUGGGAAUCCAGCACUUGACUGAGCUACUAUUGUUCCUGGAGCAUUACCCACCGAUUGAUAGUUUGGAGGCACCAAAUGGGGAAAUUUUUCCUUCAAAUGGUUCAAGUACUGAGGCUCAAAACAACAUUUGUCACAUUUGCCACGGGGGAGGGGAGUGGCGCUGGAGCGAGGGCGGAGGGAUGGGCUAGGGAAAUUUUGGCAGCCUGACGGUGUCGCGCGGGCUUUUCCAAAAAUUUGGCCAAGUUCCCGUGGGCGCCACCAUAUAUAAGGUGCCAACAGCUGGAGUGAGUGAUGCCAUCACCUGCACCUAGAAAUCAUUUCUCCAUUUUUGUUUUUGUUCUAAAAUGUAUUUUUGAGCUAUUAAAUGACCUCAAAUGCAAAAUUUGUCAACUACAAAGUUUAAUGUCUCAUUGAGCUCUACAAUUUUGAUGGCGUCACUCGCCCCUGAAAAUCAUUUCUAGGGGUGCAUGAUUACGUCACUCACCCCUGCUAAAUGGAAGCCUAUAUAUGGUGGUGCCCACAGGGACUUAGCCAAAUUUUUCGUGAAGCUCGCGCGACGUUGUUGGGCUGCCAAAAUUUCCCUUGGCCCUCCCUCCCCUGCUCCGGUGCCGCUCCCCUUCCCUGCCCACUCCACUGCCGCAACGCCUCCUCCCCUCCUCCUGCAGCGCCUCUUUUCGUGGGCCACCGCUGUAGCACCCUCCCCGCGGCGCCUCCCCUCCCCAUGCCGGCCGCCUCCCGUCACGGCACGUCCCCUUCUGCGGGCCACCGCCAUGGCGCCCUCCCCGCGACGCCUCUCGAAGCGGCGCCUCCACCGCCGCGGCUGGGACCCUCCCCUUCCUCGCGCAGGCUGUCGCCAUGGCACCCUAGCUCCUCGCGGCGCCUCCUAUACCCGCGCUGCUCCACCGCCGGCUGGGCCCUCCUCUCCGCGCGCACUGCCUACAUCCUAUACACCAUCACUUUUCCUUAAUUUUCUUUUCUUUUUCUUUUUACAUUUUGUACUUAGUGAAUUGUAACGUGUGAAAUUAUGAAAUUGGUGAAUUUUGAAAUUGUACUUAGUGAAUUGUGAAAUUGUACUUAGUCAAUUGUGAAAAUGUGAAUUUGUGAAAUUGUACUUAGUGCAUUUUAAAAUAUACACUUAGUGAAACUGAUAAAUUGUUAACUAGUGAAUUUUUCCUUUUCUUUAAUUUUUUUCAUUUUGAAUUGUGAAAUUGUGAAUGUCAAUUCAAUUUUCAAUUUUGAAAUGUGAAUUCUCAAUAGGGAUGCAUGCAUGUGAAUUGUGUGUCAAAUUGUGAAAUGGUAAAUUGUAUAUUGCAUGAGAAAUAGUAAAUACAAACUCCAUAUGGAAUUCUUUAUAUAUUUAUCGCCUUUUAAUUUAUAUGUAGAACUCGUAGAUGGAUUCCUCGCCCUUUAUACACCAAAGGGAUGCAUCGAAUAAAGGUGAUGUGUCCCAAAAUGAAAUGGACCAAAUUGCAUCCCAGUUGCUGUCAUGGGACAAAGAAAACAUUGGUGUAGGAUCUGGGGACAAAGAUAUGUUGGACCGGAGAUAGGAGCAGGGGCGUGGGUAGAGGGUGUGUGGAAAGAUCCUCUAGAUCCACACCCUUUGCCUCCGAGAGAAGGCCAUUUAAAGGUGGAUUUUGAUCCGGAUUACAAUCCGAAUCCAAGUGAGGUAAUGCCGCAUAUAAUUGCCACCCAAUAUUUAGUGCACAUUUUCAUGUAGUAAGUGUAAUGACUCUUAUUUGCUUAACCUUAUGAUUCGUGUAGAUGGCUCCCACCGGAUGGACUAAAUGCUGUCGCUGGCCCCGUACCCCCCAAAAGAAGAACUUGAAGACAGUGGCAGCUCGGCUCUCGAAGCUAAAACUACAACCUAUGGGAGUCAAAGUAAAAAAAGACGGAUGAUUGGGGAAGAAACCUAUACACUUAAGGCAAAUGGAGAGUCGAUGAUAUCUGCUCAGCAGGAGAGCCCAUAGAGCCUCCGUUGGUGCAUUCAAAGUUUUAGGACGCAACAGGAGCAAUAAUAAGAGCAAAGGAGAUUUUGGAUCCCUCGAUCUCUGCUUGUCUAUUGGUUCCUGAGGAGAGGAAAGAAGCGAUACAGAAGCUUUUUAAACAAACAUUUAUUUUGCCUAGAUCAGAAGACCUCAAGAAACACGUAAGCAUUAUGCCAGGAAGCAGCUUGGUGAAAGUUUUCACUGGUGGAGGGGUGAGCUGAAUGACAAGUAUGUCAAAAAGGGCCUAACCCCCUUUAAUGAAUACAGGAGCAUCACACAAGCCCAAUGGGAUGAGUUUGUAAGAAAAAAGACCUCUCCGAAAGCUUUAGCCCUAAUCCAGAGGAAAAGAGAACUUGCGCUGAGCAACAUACAUAAAGUUCAUCUUGGACUGGGUGGGUACCGUGGGAAUAUCGACAAGUGGUGGCAGGUAGGGAGGUAGCAAAAGCCGCAGGGCAACUCCGCCCUUUUGAAGGCUCGGAUGAGCGUGGCUGGUAGUAGCUUGUAGCAAGGAAGCCUACAAUAGUAGAUGGUAAACCUAUGUUUUCAACAUCCGAAACCAAUCAGGUGGCUCAGAGGAAAGAAGAGUUUGUACCAAAUAGGGAUAAAGAUGUGCUCAGUUCGGCCCUUGGGAUGAAAGAGCAUGGAGGCCGUGUCAGAGGGGUUUCCUUGAAGUUGACUAUCAAAGAUGGGUUCGAGAGGGAUAGGGCUAGCUACAACAGCCACUCCUGUUACAAGGACGAUCUAAGAGAGGCGGCAGAGAAAGCACUAGAAUCAAGGUUUAAGGACUUUUUGCUGGCACUUGCAGAGCAGCAACAAAGCUGUGAGGCCAAUAUACUUGGUCAUGAUGUUACAUCCACUAUUGGGCCAAGAGAAUACAUCAAUUUAUGCUCUGAGCAGUGUUGGCUCUACGAUAGCAGAACCAUAUCCGAUAUAUCCUAUAUGCAUCAGUACUCCUUGCUCAUUGCACAUUCCAGUUGGUAGAACUGGCAAGACAAAGAAGGUUGCCAAGGGCCUUGCGAUUCCAGUUGGCAGUUUGUUUGAGGGAAAACCUAUCCCACGCUAUUAUGCAUGCGUAACAGUGCUUGAAAUUAAUUCAAACUAUGGUGAUCACGAGAUAGACAUUCCCAUUGCGGAAGGUAUCCAUUACCUUGGACAAAGCAAUGGCAAUACCAUACUAUGGCAUAAACGAGAUAUCAUACUGUCUUCAGUUCCUUCUGAGCAUGCACUGGUGGACUCGACACUGCUAGAUCCAGCACCACCGGCUGCAGCAUCAGAAGAAUAAUGGGUGGCCACACCACCGACUGCAGCAUCACAUCAGAAGAACAACGGGUGGCAACACCACCGGCUGCAACAUCAGAAGAACAAUGGGUGGCCACACCAAUAGCUCCAGCACUAGCUUUAGAGCCGAUGGACUAGUCGGAAGACCAUCCUCCACCUACUCAAGCACUAUCACAACAACAACAAGUGGACCUGCCAGAGGAGCCACAACAACAACAGGUGGAUCCGCAAUUAAUGCCUCGAGUCAUACGAGCUUACGAGAAGGAAGGAUCAGACAUUGUAGCAAGAUGGCACGCGAGCAACAAAGCAGCCAAGAUGACGGAUAAGACGGCAGCCAAGACGGCAAACAAGACGGCAGACAAGACGCAAGACAUCCGACGACCCGGAUAUGAGGGAUAUAGGUACCCCCAUGGGUCCCUAUCGACCAGGAUACUAGCCGGACCUGACAAGUGGGCCCACCCAACUAGGGCGUGCGGGCCGAGGACAUGAAGAUACUUGGAGUACACGUCAAGACAACAAGACAGUUCAAAUCUACCUGGAUAUUGUGGAACACGUAUUGUAGUCUGGCUCAAAUUACCUUCCAUGUAUCUACCGAGUAGAUUAGAUUCAAACCGACUUGCGACCCUAGGUCGUCAGCCUAUAUAAGGCGGUCAAGGGCACCCCCCGUAUCUGAUCCAAUCGAACCAUUGAGCAAUACAAUCCACAAGCAUACAGGACGUAGGGUAUUACUCUUCGGAGGUCCGAAUUGUCUAAAACUCCUUGUGUCCUACGUGUUCUCGUGAUCACCUUCAAGUUCUUGAUUUUGCAAUCUCCCUCACCUAUAAAUCAACCACUUGGGUAACCCCCUGGGGUUCUGUUGGGCUUAUAAAUCCGACAGUUGGUGUGCCAGAUAGGGGUGGUUGCGAGGUCCUCUUAGCGACCUCGAUGGCAUCCCAUCCCGGUGUUGUUUUUUCUGAGAGCAUGAAGGACUUCCUCGCCAACCUGAUCAUGAUUCGCUUCGGGACCGUACCGGCGGAUUUCGACCCGACUGCUUCUUUCGUCGACUCGGCGUCUUCCGUUGACUCAGCAUCCUCCACCCGCUCGGCUUCUGUCGAAUCCGCUUCAGUGGGACAAGUUCUCCACCCAAGGAUUGUCACGCUGCCUGCCUAGUAGGUCAGCGAUCUCUCACUCUCUCUGAGAGGGUUCCAGAUCUACUACCCGCCGCCCGCCUACCCAUGCCCUCCGACUUAAUCGAGGGGCUAGAUCGCAUCAGCAGCACUAUUGCUGAGUGCACAGAUUUGUCUAAGGUGGAGCUAUGUUCAACAAGGUUAGCGUAGGGUCUGUCCCAUGUCCCCUUCAGUCCGCGAAACUCGGCCGCCGAGUACUCCGCCAAGCUUGACCAGGUUUUUCAGAUCCAAUCUAGAGACCUGCCAGAACCCGCCCAGUUUCCGGACUGUGGUGAAUUCCAGGUCCCUGUGUCAUCCUAAUGCCAAACCCAUAUGGAAGCGACCAUGAGAGAAACUCUUCUCAUGAUUGUGAAGCUUUUGUGAUCUCCACCGAUGAGCCACCCCGAGAUGGCAAAACGGAAUCUCAGGAAGAAGGCUGUAACGUCAGGAACCAGAACAACGCGGCAUGGCACCAACAAGAGCAAGCCAUCACCCAGCAGCAACCCGCUGUUGUUGACCAGCACAAUCACCGCGCAACGACGCGACAACGCCACCAGGGCAGCGCCCGAGAUAGACACAGACGCCCCGUACGUGCCCGCAAUCUACUAGCCGACCUCAAGCAGGCCGGCCACAAUGUCUUCACUACCCCCCAGGCUAACCUAGGGGCUAUGUACGCCGACCUAGAGAAUCUCCCAGACUCAGACCAAGUUCGGUGAAUUCGGGUGCGACUCCAAGUCACCAACGCCCAGAUCGAGGAACAGGCCAACAACCGGCCUGCACACUCUCGAUCCACAGCUACCCAGCACUCUCGGAGCUGAUCCGAACAUAGCAGAUCUGACCACCACCGGGGCGACCACGCAGGAGGUCGGAUGGAGCAAAUCUCCGAAUAAGUGGUGGAGCAGAACACUAACCCACCCAUCAACGACAACAUCAACAAUGACCGUCAGCACCACAACAACGAUAACUGCCGCCGCGGCAGGAGAGGCGACGAUGAGGACUGACACAGGGUACAACUUGAUUGUUGGAGUUGAUGACAUACCAGAUUUACCGGAUUGUCCUAGAAAAUUUGAUUAUGGUAAACCAUUACUACCCGACUGGGCCAUCGCCGGGAUUCCAGGUGAAAUGCAAAUGAUGCACAGUUGGUACCCGAGGGCAUGUAGACUUGGGCUUAGAACCAUAUGGGCACGGUACUCACCGGAUGUGUUCGGAACUUCAUUCGAUGCAGAUUCCAAAAUCUUCUUCGAUUUUUGAGACAUCCAUGAUGUGUUCCACCUCUUAGAGAUAUAGUUAAACCUCGUCAGAUUGUGGUGCAUGUAAGUGCUUCAUCGAUGCUAAUAUCUUGUAUAUAUGCUAUGGCCUACAUGUACUAUAGAUAACUAAUUAAUUGCGAUACAUUGUAUAGGAUGCAAGAAAAUGAUGUGCAUGUUGUAAAGGAGAAGCCCAGAUAUCUUGAUCCUUAUGCUACUUGCGAAGUUAGGCACAACUUCCCGAGCUGGUUGGGAGACAACCAUGACAAGCUAACUAAGUACAAGACAAAGAAGGAGAAAAGGGAAAAAUGAGUAUGAUAACAUAAAAAAGCUAUGAGGAAGGUUUCAAUCUACACAGCGCAUAUAAUGAUUAUGUGGUAAGAUAGGCAUUACAUAUGGGCACCCUACAACUUCCAGUGAGUCUAAAUUUCUACCAUUUGUUAUAAUAUAUACACUUGCUCCUUCAUGCUUGAAAAAACCUUAUAUAAUAUUUUUGCAGGAGUCAAUGGAUUGCUUUUAUGAUACAGCCAAAGAUAGGAAUUGUGAUCGUAUUUGACUCAUUGGAUUAUGACCAGAGCACCUACAAAUAAUUCAUAUUCAUCCUACAAAAGUUAGUGAAUUUCUUGUUGUGUACACUUUCAUUGUGAAAAUUGUUCCCCCCAAAGAUGACAUAUAAACUAACUUCUCAUUUUUUUAAAACAGGGUUUACCAGCACUACAUUACCAAAGGAGGGAUUCAUAACCCUAAGAGCGCGGUAGAAAUGGUUGUACGCACAAACUUUCCAUGCCACAAGCAACCAUCUGGUUCUGUACACUGCGGGUAUUACGUGUGCGAGCACAUCAGGGUGCUCGGGAGAUACAAAACUGAUCCCAAACGUGUAAGGGGCUAUCUUUCAUAUAUAGGGAUGUAUAUAUAUAUGUACAUUGCAUUCUUUUCCGCUUAUCUAACACUUGCUUAAUUUUUCUGUGGAUUUUAAUUGCAUAUUAGGCCUCGACUACACAGUUCGCAUCUUCAUGAGCAACAACUUCUAAAUAUAAGCACUGAUUUAUGUCAUUUCAUUUUGCGUGAAGUGGUAAACCCGAGGGGUACCUAUUAUCACCCAGAACACGAAUUAGCACAAGAAGAUAAAUAUGUUAGCCUCCGUGAGUGGGAGAAUCAAGAGUACCGCCAAGGCUAGCCUUCGUGAGUGGCAAAAAAACAUAUUGUCAAUGUGCACUCUAAUGAUGUAUAUAUAUGGUUCUAUUUCCUUAUUAUUAUUUCAUAUGCUUAAAUUGAAUUUAUGUAACAUAUAUUCUAUAUCGAUCACUAUAGCUUCUUCAAUUCGGUCGCACACUAGACUGCUAGAGUGAAAUUAGCGGGAACCAAAAGUUUUAAAAACUCGUGGGAAACAGUUUCAGCAAAUUCAAAUUUCAAUCAUUGAAUUUUUUGGGGGAAUGAUUCCAAGGGUGGGUGAUGGCAUCACCUGCCCCUAAAGACACUAUUACUAGGGGCGGGUGAUGGCGUCACCCGCCCCUAAAGACACUAUUACCAGGGGUGGGUGAUGACGUCACCCACCCCUUGAAACGGCGUUACAGGGGUGGGACUUUUACCUGCUCCUGCAAUGUAGCUUCGAAAGCUAGGAGCGGGUAGCGCGCCCACCCCUACAAAUGCCAUUUCAACCGCCCCUGGAAAGUAUUUUUGUAGUAGUGUUGAUAUGUAACUACUAAAUGUUCAUUAUGCCCAUUAAUACAUCAUGGUCUAUGUCAUUGCAAUGCUUUAUUUACAUAUGUGAGCUCUCUUUUCUAUACAACAUAUGUUCUUAGUAGAGUUUGUGGUUAUUGUGGUGAUUAGCUUAACUCUGCGGAUUAUUAGAUAUAGUGUGUGUGUGAGCAAGGUAACCUUAUGUAACAUUAUAUAGGAGGGAAAAGGCCGAGCGAGCACGUAACCGUUGUGAUAGCUAGUGAGGGCAGCACCCAUUUAUGUAGUAGAUGCAUAUUCAUGUGAACCUAGAUCCUAGGGAGGGAACGCCUAUCUAUCUCUGUUUCCUAUCUUGUGUUAACCUUUGGUAUCUUGUGCCUAUCUCUGCUUAGUUUGUCUCUCUACACAAUACAUUUACUCAGUUUCAUUAGUAAGAUUAGUAUAGAGUGAGAGCCAGUAUUCCACUUGUUCCACAGAUUGAUAAACCUUGGGGGACACUCUAAUGGUGGAAAAGUUACAACUAGUCUGUGCGCUUGCGGUUCACAAAUUGGCGCGCUAAAUGCCGCUAACAGUGGAUGACGAACAUGAUGUUGAUAUGGAGGACAUGUUACGCCACAUUGAACCGAAAAUGUUGCUAGGGAGUGCGAAAGGGUUAGAGAAUUUUGAGACGUUCAAGAAGGCAGCAGAGGACCGUACGUAUGAGGGUUGUGGGAAGGAGUGGACAAUGUUGCAUUUCGUCCUUCAUCUUCUGACCCUGAAGGCUAAAUUCGGCUGGACAAUAGUUUUAAUGAUCUCCUUACUUUGCUGAGCAAAUUGCUCCCGAAACGAACCUAACUUUGUGCCAAAAAACAUAUAUAAAUCAAAGAAGAUUAUAAAUCCAUUGAAGAUGCAUGUGCAAAGAAUACACGCGUGCAGGAACCACUGCAUACUGUACCGCGGUGAGUACGCAACAUUGGAAAAGUAUCCAAAUUGCGAUGUUAGCCGUUACAAAAGUAAUGCCGAUUUCUGUGAGGACCGUGCGGCCGGUUCCUCCAUCAUGAAUAGUAAUGCCAACUUCUAUGAGGACCGUGCGGCCAGCUCCUCCAUCGUGAAUAACAGGAAGAAGAGUGUAAAGAAAAGUGUUGGUGCUCAAGUGGAGGACGAGUCCUGUAUAGGUAUUGACACGACUCGUCGUAGAGUUCCUAUCUUGGUGAUGUUGUACUUGCCAAGAUGUGUAGCCUUGCCUCUGCAUUUGGCUGCAAAAUUGGAAGUCAACUUUUCACAUACCUUGACCUGCCAAUGGGUGCAACAAAACCAAGAAUGGAGGAUUUAACACCAAUUAAUCUUAGAUACAGUGGAAUAAAGGCUAUCAGCGUACUCAUCUCUUCUCUCAUAUUCAGGUAGAUUGGAUAUUGCUAUUUCCGUAAUCACCUCCAUGACAGCUUAUGCAAUGUGCACAAUUAAGCUACCGCUGGGUCUCAUAGACAAUAUAGACAGGGCAAGGAAACAGCGUAUUUGGAGAGGGAAUGAUGCCAGCAAGAAAGGUGGCCACCUUGCAGCAUGGCCAAUGGUUAUGAAGCCCAAAAAUAAAGGAGGCCUAAGAGUAAUCAAUCUGAAAAUACAAACUGAUGCCUUGUUACUUAAACAAUUACAGAAGUUCUAUGCAAAGUCAGAUAUACCAUGGGUUAAUCUGAUUUGGUACAAGUAUUACAAUAAUAAAGUGCCGCAUGUGAAAUGGCCUCUAGUCUAGUGGUUAGAGCACCAGUAGCAUCCAGAAGGUAUAGGUUUGACUUCCCUUAGGGCACUAGUAGCAUCCAGAAGGCCUAGGUUUGACUUCCCUUAGGAGGGAAUUAAAUAGGUUAAAAUAAAAAAUUAAAAAAAUAACUUGAGACCUUGUCCUACUUACUUUGAUUAAAAAAAUAGAGUAUCGCAAGGCAUACGAGAGUAGACUCCUUUUGGUGAAUAGAUAUUUUUCCCAUUAAAUAUCCUAUUUAGUGCACGGUUGGAGAUGGCUCGACUGUACUUUUCUGGGAAGAUCUAUGGUCGUCUACAAUACUAUUCAUGCAAUAUCCACGUCUCCACUCAUUUACUCUGAACAUUCACUCUUCUGUUAAAGAUCAUAAUGGAAGCUGAUGAUCUUGACAGCCUUUUCAACCUACCACUUUCAGAACAAGCCGUGGAGGAACUUCGUGAACUACAGGAACACUUACAGCUCGUAGACUAUAAUGCUGAUGCAUUAGACACAUGCACUGCUCCACAUGUCCUCGUCACCGCCGGCCCUAAAACCCCCAUCACCGCUGGUUUUGGAUCUAUCAUAUGACUUUCGGCAGUGACGGGGAACCGGCAGUCCUGCUGCAUAAAAAAAUAAAAAAAAUUCCCGGCCCCGCGUCCUGCUGGCCGCCCCCGGCCGCCCAUCACCGCGCCUUGUCCGCGCCGGCCAUGCCUCCCCCGUGACCCGCAGGCCACCCCUCAUCCCGGCCGGCCGCCGCUCCUCCCGGCCGGAUGGCGGGAUGCGGGGCCGGGAGAGGGGCAGCAGAGGGAAUAGGAGAGGAGGAGGAGGAGAGAGAGAAGCACUUGGGAUCUCGUCCGCCGCGCCUCCCCCAUCCUGGUGGCUGCCGCCACCGUGCCUCGCCCUGCUGCCGCUCCUCGCCUCAGGCACGAGAUGAGGGGUGAGCGGAGGGGGGAGGAGAGGGGAGGCCGGGGAGGGAGAAGAAGGGGGCUGGCAAGGUGGAAGGAAGGGAUGGGCAUGCCGCCGGAUGGAGACGAGUUGAGGGGAGGGGCGGUGCUGUGUGAAGGAAGGGGCAGCAGGGCGGGGAGGGAAGGAAGAGGGAAGAGGGGCAGACGCGACGAGGUGGGGAGGGAAGGGAGAGGGGCAGUGUGGCGGGGUGGGGAGGGUGGCACUGUGGCCUAUGGUGCGGGGUGGCAGAUGGCCAAGUUGAUAAGGGAGGAGGCGGACUCCAAGCCUAUCAAAUUUUCGGGUCCGGCCCUUGCUAUCACUGAUGAAUUUUCUAUGGAACCGGCGGUGAUGAUCAUCACUGCUGAUUUGUAAUUGGAACUAGCGGUGAUAGACCUUUUCACCGCCGGUUCUAGUAGUCCACAGCCUCACAAACUCCUGAGCUGGCUAUCACCGCCGGCUUAUAGAAAACCGGCGGUGAUGGCCUGGUGGUGAUGGACAAUUCUGUAGUAGUGUGAUGGACCUUUAUGCGGGGAAAUCAAAACUACAAAUCAAACAAGUUCUAUAGGUUGUCCUUUAAACAUCUGGAGGUGCCUCAGACCUUUGCUUGGGUAUGGAAAUCGAAGUGCACACCACGCCUAAAAUUAUUUGCAUGGUUAAUGCUUGUAGACAGAUUGAACACCAGGAGCAUGCUGGGACGUAGAAACUUCCAUGUGCAACCUUAUAGUGAUUGUGUGCUAUGCCAUGAUGGUUGUACUGAAGACAUUGAACACCUAUUGUUCAAUCGCACCUUCUCAAGAUCAUGUUGGAAGAAGCUGGCCAUCUUCUGGCAACACACACAGAAUAUACAUGAAUGCAUGCCUUAUACAUGGAAAGAAUAGCACACAGAUCCCUUUCUUCAUGGAGAUAUUCAUUAUUGCAGCAUGGGAAAUAUGGAAUAUGCGAAAUAGAAAAAUCUUUGAUAAUGCUAGAGCUAGUCCGAAUCUUUGGAUUGUGAAAUUCAAAGAGGAGGUUGAUCUUCAACUGUAUAGAGUUCAGAGCACCUUAGACCAGUAGUUUUUCAGUGGCUAGAGUCUAUUUCAUGAAUCUGUCCUUCUCCGCCUCCAUUUUUUUCUUUUCUGCUGUAAGUAUUAUGUAACCUUUGUACAUAUCUCUCUUAAUAUAAAACCGAAGCGGUUGUGGGGAACUCCCCCAAAGUUUUUCUUCAAAAUAAAAGGAAGAAAUCUUGCAGAUUAUCCAUACCAACUCUUGUUACAGGGGCCGUUAUUAUCCAUGCUCGCUUGUAAUAAGAGCUCGCACAAAUACUUAACUAUAUUAUCCAUACAUCUCAUAAUAAGUGCUGGACAUGGAUAUAUAUAGUCUUCAAGAUAUCCAUGCGAUUGGAUACACUUGCAGGAUCUGUAGUUGCCGGUUCCUAUUGUGAUUUGUGAGCCAGCAUGAAUGACUUAUCCGCGCCGGCUCUAUUUCUAAAUUUGCCGGUAUGGAUGAGGCAAGAUGAAUGGAUGUUGUUUUUCUUGUGGCUAAGGUGUGAAAAAGCUUUAUAACACCAAGAAUAAGAAAAUAAAGCUAGUGCAGCUAUACUAGAUUCCGUACCAAUAACAGAUGCUUGUCGCGCUUUGCUAUCUUUUUGAAGUGUAGUGAGUUUAGUUGCUAGAUAAUACCAGGCUGCAUGGCUCUAGACGAAAUCUGUGCUGUAGUAGAACCAUGGGCGGAUGCAGCUAUAUUCUCGGGUAUUUCCGGGAGUACCCAACAAUUAUGCCAAAACGUAAUAUUGGGUACAUAGCAGCUAUACGAAUGUAUAUAGUUUAUAGUUGGACAAAAAUCUUUGAAACUAACCAGACAUGAUUGGAUCAAGCGGCAAAGGCACAAGGCCAGGCUCUUCUUGGUCCUUUUUAUCGAUCUCCUCUGUAGGGGUACUGCGGGGCAAGGGCAAGGCCGCAAGGGCAAGCUGUAGCUAGAGCUAAGCAUGGGACACUGCAAAUGCACGGAACAUACUUUUCUUGAUGGUUUCUCAUAUUACGGCUAACCUUUUUUUUUUACUUGGGAAUACCUAACUAUAAAAUCCUGGCUCCGCCACUGAGUAGAACGAUAUUUGGAUAGAUGGAUCGAAGGCUACGUGGGUGCCAUGCCAUCGGUAUUGUUAGUUUGUUGUGCAAGCGACAUAUAUAGCAGCCCACCAUUUGUACAAGCAUGAGUACAUACAAAUCCCAGCAUACGUACUCUGGGGACGAUAUUAUAUGAGAGUAACAGAGUGCACGAUAUAUAGUUUCGCCACACGCACAAUAUGUCAAUAUCAGUGACUCCGAGCAUCAAUAUCAUUAAUGGCAGUGCUUAGAGUAUCAUCCACAUCAUGGCCACGGCCUUCAAAGAUUAAUUUAUUCCAUGAGUUCCAAACACAUGGCAGGAGGAUGAGAAGAACUUCAAGCCAGAACUUGGCCGGAAGAUGAGCAUGAUGCUGGAUGGACCAAGGCAGUUAAGAUCCGAGAGUACAAAAUUAAAGAAAGAAAGAAAGAAAGAAAGAAAACAACACUGCAUGCAGUAUCAUGCAAAUUUAAAGCGACAUGGGCACUUCUCAGUAAUGAUUCGUUAUUACAAACAACCUUCAGGACAUGUAAUCACGCGCCGGCUACUGGCGACAGCAGCGAGUUCCAAACCAAGUUCCAGCGACGGGACACUGCAGCAACACGAGCGGCUUCUGCGAUAGGGAGGCGUCUGAAGAUGUCUCGCAAGAUAUCAGAAGGUUGCUGAUGCAAUCAUCUUCUGCACUGUCGUAAUGGAAUGGCCCAACGAGUAUGCGCAAGUCUUGGCGCCGGCGUCGACGGGGAGGGGCGCCAGCGACGUUUUCCACAUUCCUAGCUUUGUCCAUGGUCGACCUAGAUCUCCGGAGCUGAUGCCUGCUCAAGAGGGGUACAUUAAUUAUUGAUCAAUUAAUAAAGAGCAGGUGGGUGAGAGCAUUACAGUAUAAAGAAGCAAUGUCACUAAUAUAUAACUAUCUAGGCAUUUGAUAUAUGUUUGACACUAUAUCAAUUAGUUUCUUACUCUGAAUGGCUAAAAUUCUUUAGGAACACUAGCAGAAAAAACCACGAAUUACAAAAAUAGGGUUAGAUCACCACCAGAAUUCCCAUGGAUUAACCUGAUUUCAUGUGAACUUUUAUGGGGUGCAUUCCAUUAUUGUUACAAAGAACAACAUGCAUAUGAAUACUUUCUACACAAUAUCCUACAAAAUUCCUUUAGUUUUCCUUUGUGCCCUUCUUUAAGUUAUAACAGUUUGUAGUUCCUCGCAAAAAAAAAAAAGUUUGUAGCUGAUGACUUAUUAGUUAUUUUCUAGGGUACAUGCUGUCCUACUGUUACUUAUUAGUUAUAAUAGUAUAUUCACGGACGAACAUUAUGGUCACCUGACCCUAAGUAUUUUGAUUACUAUCAGGACAAUUGACUUGCCCAUCUCACAUGCAUGCAUAUCACCAAGAUAUGCCUUGACAUGUAAUUUAAGCUAGUUUGUUGGCAUCUACUUUAUGAUAAAUCCCAUAUCUACUUAUUGAACUACGGCAUUCCUGUGCAUAUGAUAGCUGCAGUUGUAUCUGAAACUAAAUAUAUCUUGAAGCACUGCUAAAUACGACUACGUACGUAAUGUGCCUUUGUACCUUGGCAUUUAUAUCCCUGCAACUGAAUUCCUACACUACCUAUAUGUCCACUUUUGACGCCACUAGCUACCAUAUUUUUUCCUGGCAUUUUGAGUUUCUUUAAAAAAAUUCGCAGUUAAAAUUGAAUUAAUGAUACCAAGCGAAAAAAAUCAUACCAGUGUGGUUAAGCUUGGCUAGACUCCCCUGUGUGAUGUGAUCCUUAAAAAGAUUCGCAUGCAGGCCCUUCCUGACACCUGCAUCACCACUAUAUACCUUGACAUUCCCGGGCAUGAUAUUUUUGCAGUUACAUCUGAAACUACAUUUGGCUCGAAUGGUAUAUAUGUAGAUAUGUAGUAAUUACCUUCCAAUAUAGAAUGAUGGCGCUGAAAAUAAAUUACUCAUCUUAAUACCUUUCCUUCUGUCUUCACACUGUAAGGAAGAAAAAUCAUAUUUUAUUUGAAAAGUACCUUGAAUCAAACGUAGUCAGAUGAAAUAUUGCAUGAUAAUAGAUGACUUUGACUAGAUAAAUUGAUAAUGCCUUCAAGGUAAAUAAACACCCAUACAAAAUAAAAUGUUUGAUUCAGUAAAUCGUAAAACUACUAGAAAACUCAGUAUUACUACCGGUCCGUACUGUGCAUAUCUCCCGAAAAUGCAUCCGGGAUUAACUCAUUAAGAUAAAAGGGGGGUCUUUUAUCACGAGUCCCAAAACCACGAUAUAAGAUACCCUUUUAGUCCCGGUUGGUAAUACCAACCGGGAGAAAACGGUCGCCACGCCAGGGGCUGCUUCCCGCCCCUUUUAUCCCUGUUGGUAAUACCAACCAUAAUGGUUUUAAAAAAAAUUGCAAAAACAAAAAUAAAAAAUAUCGGGGGUCCCUAGGAGGCCCCACACACGCGCAAUUUUUCACCCGAAAUAUGCGCGUGCACGGUCCGUGGGAUUCGAACCCAUGACCUCAAGCCUUGCGCGUAGCUUCCUUACCAUCCCACCUACACACCACAUCUGUCUAUAUAGGGGAUGCUAUCCUUUUGUAUUAACUCAUGGAGGACCCUUUAAUCUGGGUUGGUAACACCAACCGGGUUAUUUAAUCCCGGUUGGUAAUACCAACCGGGAUAAAAAGAUUCGAGGGAUUUAGUCCUUUCCCAGCCACACAUGGGGGAUCCUUUUUAUCCCGGUUGGAAACACCAACAGGGAUAAAAAGGGUCCGAGGGUUUUAUUCUUUUUUCAGCCACUCGUGGGGGACCCUUUUCUCCCGGUUGGAGUUUCCAACCCGGACUAAAGGACCCCCUUUUAUCCCGGUUGCUUUAGUCCCGGGUGGUAAGUUCCGGUUGAUUUUACCAACCGGGAUUAAAGGGUCCCCCGCAUGUGCCUGAAUUUUUCAACCGGGACUAAAGGAUCUCCAUGGGUGGCUGAUUUUUGAACCAGGACUAAAAGGUCCCCUUUAGUCCAAUUGCAAAUAUCAACCGAGAGUAAAGUGUAGCGCACCCUCUUUUCUCCCAGGUCGAAAUUAAACCGAGAUUAAAGGGGUGGUAUCUAAAGUCAGUUCUCUAGUAGUGUAAUAUGCAGCAUAUGCUCUUGUUUCUUAACAUUACAUAAAGACAAAGACCUGAAAAUAGAAUAAAAUUAAAAGCAAAAAUUAUCUUGAACAAAUAGGUUGGAUGAACAUCCACAUUAUAUUGAACAUCUGAUUAGUUAGGCAGUAGUAGCAAAGAUUCCCAAGAAAGUUAAAUCACACGAAAUGAAGAUUACAACAUUGUUUAAGAAGUCUUUAAAGAUUCUUAUUAUAACUACAGUAAGAAAUGCACUGAUAUAGUUAAUUGUUUCGAUGCUAUUAGGUUCAACUAAUGACAAAUGCAAUCUCAAUAAGGUAGGAAUAAUCAAUCACUGCUCCGCCAAUGGUUGCAUAAAAUGUGCGAAAGCAAUGGUGCGAAAGCUGCUGCUUUCAACUCUGGCAAAGUUGCAAUCGAGAAACAUCAUGAAGCCAUCUCAUAUGUCCAGAUGCCACCUUGACCUGCUAAGAUCAUCACUGCACCUUCGAUGUUCAGGGUGGCCAGAAAGUUCAGUGUGACAUUAUUUAUGUCACACUCUGAAUCUGAUCUCGCACAGUUCUACUGGAAACCAUGAAUUACUACAUUAUUGAUACUUCACACACUCGACUGAGUUCGUUUCAUUCCAAAACUCAGAAUUGCCAUUCUUGUUAGUGAGUCCAUAACUUAGAAUAUAAUGUCCAAUGUAAAGUGUGUCAAACAGUAAAUUAUGUAGUGCUGAUGAUAAUGAAAUUGGAGCAAAAUAAGGGAGGUGAUAUACAUAUGCCCUAUGGAUUGACAACUAAAAAUUCAUUCGAUGGCCAUCAGAUGACUGAUGAUGCACAAUUUUACUACUUCAAAUCGCACUAGUAGAGAACUUACCUUCCAUGCGUCCCCUUUUGUCCCGGAUCAAAGUUGGCCCGGGACAAAAGGUUUACCAACCGGGACUAAAGCUCGGUCACUGACGGGGGGCUCACCAACUGGGACCUUUUAUCUCGAUUGCAAAGACUAGUGGAAAAAAAAGGCCCUGAGAGACCUUUUAUCCCGGUUUGAAACACCAACUGAGAUAAAAGACCCCCUUUUAUCCCGGUUUGAAACACCAACCGGGAUAAAAGGGGGUCUUUUAUCCCGGUUGGUGCAACCGGGAUAAAAGGGGGUCUUUUAUCCCGAUUGGUAUUACAAACCGGGAUAAAAGGGUCCCCCACGGGGUGGCUGAAAGGGGACUAAAACCCUCGAACCCUUUUAUCCCGGUUUGUAAUACCAAUCGGGAUAAAAGGGGGUCUUUUAUCCUGGUUGGUGUUUCCAACUAGGAUAAAAGGGUCCCCAAAAGUUAAUACAAAAAGAUUGCAUCCCCUAUAUAGUCAGAUGUGUUGUGUAGGUGGGAUGGCAAGGAAGCUACGCGCGAGGCUGGAGGUCGUGGGUUCGAAUCCCACGCACCGCGUACGCGCAUAUUUCGCAUGAAAAAUCGCGUGACUUGUGCCUUGCGACGUGCGCGUGGAUACCCUGGGAGUUUUUUUCUUUUUUUGCAGCGCCUAACGUGGCGACCCUUUUUAUCCCGGUUGGUAAUACCAAUCGGGAUAAAAGGGGGUCUUUAGUCCCAGUUAAGUGACCCGGGAUAAAAGACUCCCCUUUUGUCUCGAUUGGCUUAUCCCGGAUGGAUUUUCGAGAGAUUUGCUCCCUACCAACCGGGACUAAAAGUGAGUUUUCUACCCAUGUUGUGAAGCAUAAAUAUUCCUCUUUCUCCAACCCACUACUAGAAAACACCCCCCUUUAGCUACGCUAUAGUAGUAACGCACGCUAAAAGCGUCUCUACAUCAGCAUGUAAAGAUGUUUUUUGACACAAUUUCAAAAACGUGUCAGGCUGUUACGAUAUUAGACAUGCUUAUAGUAUUAUUAGUCAUAUAAAGAUAUUUUUUAACACGCUAUUGAAGUUGUCUCAAAAUGACACGAAAUUAGACACGCUUUAAAGCGUCAUUAUCCCCUAGACACAUUGUAAAGCGUAUCAAACAAUUGUCUAUAGCCAGGUAAAGAUGCUUUCUGACUCGAUUAGCAAAGCAUAUCGAAUUGAUACAAAGUUUGACAUGCUUUCAAUCAUGAAUAGCAUGUAGACAAGUCGUAAAGCGUAUCAAAUAACCAUCAAUAGGCACGUAAAGAUGAAUUUUGAUGCGAAACGGAAAUAACACACUUAUUCGAAACAAGAGAACCUAAUAUUUGUAAUCACUAAAGGAUGAAGAAAUAAUAUAUUUGAAUUGGUAAAAAAAUACUACCAUAUAACCUAAUAUUUAUAACCUUGGCAAGAUAUUAGAGACAUGCAUGCCAAAAACCAUACUAAAAUUUGUUGUAGAUGAAUUUUGAUGCGAAACGGAAAUAACACACUUAUUCGAAACAAGAGAACCUAAUAUUUGUAAUCACUAAAGGAUGAAGAAAUAAUAUAUUUGAAUUGGUAAAAAAUUACUACCAUAUAACCUAAUAUUUAUAACCUUGGCAAGAUAUUAGAGACAUGCAUGCCAAAAACCAUAUUAAAAUUAGUUGUGUACAACAGAAUUAAAAAAAGGAAAACAAUGGUGCCUCCAAGGAAUCGGUCCGCGCCUGGCAAUUUUAGAGACCUGCAGCCAUACCAUUGAGCUAGCAAAGUAAGUAUGUCAAGUCUUUAAAUAAAAUUAUAUUUGACUGCACAUAACCCGCCCAGUACAUCCAGCCAGGCACCCACGGGCCAAAUCGGCACUCCUCCCCUAACUUGACAAAAUGCUGCGCUAGGCGCCAGCCCAGGAACCCGCCGGUGUCACCGCAAUCCAAAUCCCUAGGAAGCCGCCGGUGCCGCCGCAAUCCAAAUCCCCAGGAAGCUACUGGCACCGCCUCACUCGAAAUCCUCAUUCCCCAGGCAUGCUGGAGGGUAGCAGCACGACAGCUACGUUAAGGUCCAGGUUCACCCUCUUACAUCCCUCUCCCUUUGUCUGGUUCAAAUCCAUUGUAGCGUAUGGCCGGUAAAUCUUGAAUCCAGUGGCAGAAGCAGGGGGGAGGGGGGCAGUAGGGGCCAUGGCCUCCCUAACACGGUAACAUGGUGACAGUAUUUGAAGACCACCUGUGUAUUGUGUAGUCUAAAAGCCUAGAGUAGUCAUCGGUCAUCACUCAUCACCACUUUAGUUCCUCUGAUCUGAAGCCCAUGGCCUAAGUGUUAGCGCAAGUUUGUGAUGCAUAUUUCAGGACUUUUGUUCACUAAUAUGGGCUAGUGAAGCAUGACCAUGAAUUUUGUAUUAGUGCAAUUCUGUUAUUUCUUAUUUGCGGUCUACUUUUUAACCUGGUUAGGUGGAAGCCUCUUAAAAAAGAGAGGGAAAGACUUCCUAAAACUAAAGUAGAGUUUCAUAUUUCUAGUUGAGCUGACGGGAUUAGACCAUAUUAUGUUACAUUGUUACUAACACUAGCUUAUUUGGGCUACUUAAACCUGUCAGCCAAAUGUUCACUGAGCAAGUUUUCUUUCUCUGUAUUCUUCGUAACUUAAGCAUCUCCCUCAAGGGCAUACAGUGUAACUAUUUGAGAAGCAUGCCAUCUUUAAAAGCAUUAUGCAGGCUUAACACUAUUCGGUCAGAUUCACUCAGAGUUUGCUAAGUUUUAUGAGUGAAUUGUUUUGCAUAUUGCUUUGGAAUAAAUAAUCUUGGAAUUUGCUAAGUUUUAUCAGUAAAUUGAGUUUAUCUAGUAGAUUAAAUUUGUGUUUGGUAGUAAUUCACAAUUCUAUAAUGAUUAAGGAUUGUGUUUACAUUUUAUUUUAGGAAUUAACCAUCACCUAAAAUUCAUCUCAGUCACAACUAUGUACUACAAAUUAAACUAGCUGAUUUGUUUUAUUUAAAUUUUACAGCUUCUUACAUAGGGUGAUGGAUCGAAGUUGGAUGAAAAAAGCUAGACAUGAGACGGCAUAUGAAGAAGGUGUUGAGAAAUUUUUGGCUUUUGCUUACCGGGACCUUCCACAAGAUAGCGAGAUACUUUGUCCAUGUAAAAAGUGCAAGAAUAGAAUAAACCAGAGUCAUGAUGAAGUUAGGACACAUCAGCGGUGCGACGGUAUUCUUCAAGGUUAUACUACUUGGGUUCAUCAUGGUGAGAAUUAUGACAGACCAUCAAUUGCAUUUGUUGAUGUGCCAAAUAUCACAACAUUGCCUACUUCAGGUAUAGUACAAGGUCGUCGGGAUGGAGAAUCGGAUAGCAUGGAAGAACUACUACAUGCUGCAUUUGGUAGGGUUGCAGGCAUGUCUCAAGGCGAAGCAGAUGAUUUUCAGUCAGGAUUUGUAGAUAUGGAACAUAAUGCCCCAGAGGAUAUUGUGACUCCAGCUCAAGGUGAUGAUUCGGGGAGGGAUCAGAAUAUACACGCAAGAUUCUCCAAGUAAUGAUGUGGAUGUAUGUUUGCAGCCCCUGAUCGAUGAGCUUUUACUGUUGUGGGAUGGAGUUGAAACAUUUGAUGCCUCUUCGAAAAAAGAAUUCCCUCUCCGAGCUGCACUAUUGUGGACUAUAAAUGAUUUUCCAGCAUUAGCUUACCUAUAUGGAUGGAGCACAGGUGGUACAUAUGCAUGUCCUUCUUGUGGUCCAACGACAAAAUCAUUUCGCCUGAAGAAUGGUAAAAAGUUAUGCUAUAUAGGUCAUCGUCGAUGGCUGCCAGAAAACUAUAGAUACCGAAGGCAAAGGAUGCAGUUUGAUGGCUCGAUAGAGACUGAACUUGCACCUAAAACAAUGAGUGCCACAACUGUUCUUAAAAUGUUAGAAGGGAAAGAGUUUGUGCUAGGAAAAAAGGUGUCCACAGCAAAGAAGGACAACAAGAAAGGCAAGAAUAAGGAAGUGGUGGCUGAAAGUUUUAUGAAACGCAAGUGUAAAACAAAAGGACAAAAUAAGGAGUCAGAUGGGAGUGGUGCUAAGGAAGAGAAGAAUCCUAAAGAUUGGUUGAAAAAGAGGUCAAUUUUCUUUAAGCUACCAUAUUGGGAACACAAUAGAUUAAGACACAAUCUAGACGGAAUGCACUUAGAGAAAAAUGUGAGUGACAACUUUAUCUCAACUUUGUUGGCUAUUUGUCAUAAAACAAUGGAUGACCUUAAUGCACGACUAGAUUUAGUUGAACUUGGAAUUCGAGAGGAUCUUCAUCCUAUUGUGGAUAAUGAAGGAAAACAGUCGCUUCCUGAUGCACCUUUUACCAUGUCUAGAGAGAAAAAGAAGAUCGUUUGCUUAGUAAUUAAAAACCUUAGGACCCCCGAUGGAUAUGCAUCAAACAUAUCUAGGUGUGUGAACAUAAAAGACUUUACAUUGAGUGGACUAAAGAGUCAUGACAAUCAUGUUUUACUACGUGACAUUCUUCCAGUGGCGCUCCGAUCCUGUUACCCUAGCAAAGAUGUCAUGAGGAUAGUUGUUGAAUUAUCUAAUUUCUUCAAGAUGCUGUGCUCCAAGGUGAUAGAUGUGGAUGAGUUGGUAAAGCUUCAAGAGAUUAUUGUGAUGACACUAUUUGAUAUGGAGAGAACUUUUCCUACCAUCAUUCUUUACUGUGAGCGUGCAUUUGAUGGUGCAUUUGGUAGAAGAAGUUAAACUUGGUGGCCCUGUUCAGUACCGGUGGAUGUACCCCAUGGAGAGGUAUGCAACUACAUUUAAUUUGCACUGUCAUUGUCAAUAAUUUUUACAACUUACAUAUGUCCAUAAUUGGAUAUAGAUUUUUUGUUCGGCUAAAGGCACUUGUGAAGAAUAGAGCUCACCCAGAAGGUUCAAUUGCUGAAGGAUAUUGCAUGGAGGAGUGCCUGAACUUUUGUUCAAGAUUUUUAGAAGGAACUACAUGUUUUACUAGGCCAUCCAGAAAUCCUAAACCUUCCGAUGAAAAAAAAGGCAUGUACUUGUUUGAUAGUGCUGGUGAACCAAUUGGAAAGUGUACUGGUGUCAACCUUAAUAAGCAUCUUCUUGUUCAGGCACAUCGAUAUGUCUUGCGACAUUGCGAUGAACUUGAGGACUUACGCAGGUUUGUUCAUACAGUGCUCCCCAUUAUGUUUAUUUUUGUAGUAACUUGAUGACAUGACACUGAUCCGAUUGUUGUAGAGAAUUCUUGGAAGAGGAGAAAACCAAAAUAGAUCCAUCAUCUAAUUUGACACCUUGUUCCAUUGAGAAGUUGACCAAUGAACACUUUCCUGAUUGGUUGGAGCAAAAGGUGUGCAAAUCUUAAAUUAAUGCAUUUUAGGCAUACCAUUAAUAGAUGGAAUGGAUCUAAUAUAAUCCCUUAUACAAACAGGCUAUCCUAGGGGAUGGAACAAGCAUCACGGCAAAAGUUAGAGCAUUGGCUGCAAAACCUAGCAGAUGUGGUGUGAGAUGCAGUGGUUACAGUAUUAAUGGUUUCAAGUUCCACACUAUGAGCCGUGAAGCUGCACGCUUGACACAAAAUAGUGGCAUAGUGAACAUCGCACAUGAUGGUGUGAAUUAUUAUGGUAGAUUGUCAGAUAUAAUUGAAUUGUCAUAUGCAGAGUACAAGGUAGUGCUUUGCAAAGGUGAAUGGUAUGAUGUUCAUCAUCAAGCUAGGUUACGACAACAUGAGUUUGGAUUCACCCUUGUGAAUUUUUCUCGAAAGAUACACACAUAACAAAAAUUAGAGCAUGAUCCUUUUGUUUUCUCUUCACAAGUGCAGCAAGUCUUUUAUGUCCAAGAUCCAAAAGCAGAAGCAUGGCACACUGUGGUGAGAGUUAUCCCACGUGAUAAUUUUGACAUGGGUGCUUAAUUGUUGGCAGAUGAAACAUAUUAGAACAAUAUAGUCUUCUGUAGCACUGAAUAUUUGUGUGAGCGAAAUAUAACCAGUACAUCAUAUAUGCUUUGUAAUGAAUCAAACUGUAAUAUCCUAUUUAGAUCAGGAGAAGUUUGUUGUAUAAGAUCUAUGUCAGGGUAUCAUGUCAUUUUUGGGCUGUGGAACUGUCCAUUUGAAUAUAUUUGAUUUCUUAUUGUGCUUCGAUUUCUAACAAACAAGAACUCUGUCAUUGCUUGUCCUUGUUCACUGAGCAAUUCAUUUUUAAUUUAGUUGAUUGCGUUCUUCCUGUCAAGAUUUUACUUGAUUGAGUUGUUUCAUUGGGCACAUUGCCAUUCCCAUGGAAAUGAACACAGGAACUUUAACGAGUUCCGUUAAAAUGGUUUCCCAGCUUGCUCCUGGAAUUUUCUUUGGUUUCUAAUUUUUUUCUAAGCUUUUCUCCAAUACUUAAAAUCAUGCAUUACUUGCCAUUGUUUGCUACUAAAAGCACAUGGUGGGACCUUGGCGUGUUGGUCAUACUGGAAAAAGAUUUAUUUUCUUUUAUCUUUUAAUCUACAUCUGAAAUCGUAAAAUAGUUUUGCCUUUAUGUUCGCAACAAGACUCUGAAGCAUACAGACCACAUUCACAUAUAAAAAAUGAAAACAAAUCUGGGUACCAGUCAAGUGAAGCCCUUUUGGAAACAGCAAGCACAUCUUACCUGUACUUAUGUCUUCCACCUGCGUACUCUUGAAAAAAACAGAGAUAAAGAAGGCAGAUGGAAAUGGAUCCCCUGAACGCUGAUAAAGAAGUACUUUGCCACGUUCAAAUUCAAAUACAUAGACAUUGAGGCAUUUCUUGAAUUUCCAUCACCUACUUAACAUUUAAUCCAAAAGGGUCCUCCACACCGCCAGUCUAAAAGACCAUGACAGAUAGGGAUCAAAGCACUAGAGAUUCAACUACGAGUAGCACUAGAGGUUCAGCUACUUAACAUUCAAUCCAGAAGGGCCAUGGCACUAGAGGUUACAUACUAAACUAAACACUUUGUCAACCAACUUCUUAUCCUACUUCUUGUCUAGCUUCUUAUAUGCUUCAAGUAACUUUUUUGCCUUCCAUUGAGUAAUUGCUAGCUUCUUGGCCAUGUCAUCACGCUGCUGCACUACAAGAUCAUACUUUUCACGUGCCAUGUUCCUGUAUUUCUUGAAUGUGUCUUUCAACUGCUGCAAAUUGGUCUGCAAUACAUCAAACAAUAACUCAGGACAAGUUCCAAGAAGAAGAUAACUCAGUAGAAAAGGAUGGCACAUCAUCAGAACACAAAAAAAUUGAUAACUCAGGACAUAAAAGGCAUAAUUUGACAAUCUCAAAAUGUUUAUAUUUCAUAUAUUGUGUAUCUGAUUUAUGCUUCAUUGGCACCACUAUAGUCCUUACAUUUUUCCAAACAAAACAAUAUCCAUUUACCCAUAUUUUAAAGUCACAUUUCCAUGCAGACACAAGUUGCCUAUAUCAGACUGAUAAAACACAUAACAAACCAAUUAAAAUCCUUAUGAGUUUCACCAAAACUGCUUACCUCUCUAAUAAAAAAACAUUUAUUCGACUCAAAAGGCACAGAGUGCUUGUAUCAUUUGGUUUUUGUGAGCCUUCUGUAACACCAAGCACCAAGCAGGAACUAAAAUCAGUAGAAAAAAUGGCAAAUUAUCAAAACUAGUGAUUGAAAAUAUUCAUGCAGAACUAUGUUUGCAGUUUUAUUACCGAGAGCAGAAAAUUUCUCAUAAUAUGAUCAUACAAAUCUGUGGCAGAUAAUUUGCUUGUUGAAUUAACAUAAGUUGCUACAGAUCUAAAAUGGUCUUUCACAUGAGAUUCAUGCCAGCAGGUGACAAGUUUGUAGCUAGGCAAAAAUCAUUACCAGUCUAUCACAAAGCUAACCAACACAGCUUAUCCAGGAAUAUUAAUCUAUGCCAAAGAACUAGGCAACAUUUAUCCAGGAAUUCAAUUCAGUCACCAAAGCAGGCAAAAAUAACAAGGCAGACCAUGCAUACCAUCCAAGAUUUCAUGACCAUUCAUCAGACCAAAAGCAUACAUACAUAAUAAGGACAUAUAAAAAGAGUAAGAACAAUACCAUCUUAUCAAUGCAGUGGUCGCAGUCUUCAUCUAUCUUAUCAUCUGACCCUGUGUCGGAGUCAAAUUCAGAGUGGGAGUUGCAGUCAGAGUCAAGGAUGAUCAUAUCGACGUUGUUGGCUGCCGGCAUGGCCUCCUCCAUGAUAACAACAUCAGAGUCGGAGUCGUAACUCUCGUCUUGGCGAGGGUUCACCAGGGAUGGCCCAUAGGUGGACAACCCCCUCGCAACCGACCACGUGUUCGGCCUCCUCAUGACGCCGCUGUCCAAAUGGGGAUGAUGCGCUGAGGAAGAACCACGACGGCCCCCUCCUCCCCUGGUGAUGGGCUUCGACGGUGCCUCUCCUCCCGCGGUGCUGGGCUUUGAUGGCGUCCUUACCUUGCUGAUGUCCUUAGCCUAGGCGAAGCGGCCCUUAGCGUCGCGCAGGUACGUCAUCCCAUCAUCCGCUCGCUGGCCUGGCUGUGCGGAUCUUGGAUUUCGAGGGAAGUGGGGAAGGGAUUUGGAAGAAAGAAGACAGGCGGAUCAAUUUGUGGAUGAGGAACUGAGGAGGCGGAUUGAUUUGUGGAUGACAAACUGAGGAGGCGGAUCGAUUUUGUGGAUGAGGUAUGUGGGGAGCAGCCGGGACUGAGAAGGCAGAGCGGACGAUGUGGGGAGGAGCGGCCGGGACUGAGGAGGCAGAGCAGACGAUGUGGGGAGGAGGACGAUGAGGAACUGAGGAGGCGUGUUUCUAUAGGAGGUGAGGAGGCGGAGCGGACGGGAUCAAAAUGAAUAAAAUUUCUAUAGCUACCGAAAUCACGUGUUAGCUCAAUGGUUUUUCCGGUGCUUUGGAACUUGUAGGCUGCGGUUCAAUUUGCCAGUUUUUUUCCCUAAUUUUUUGCCAAGUCAGGUUUAUACAAUUCCAAUAUAUAUUUUCUUAAGUUCUAACACAAUGUGCAAAAGUGAGCCAAGUCAGGUUUAUACAAUUCCAAUAUAUAUUUUCUUAAGUUCUAACACAAUGCGCAAAAGUGAAUGCUAUAGGUUUCAAUCACAAAUACAAAGAUAAGUGUAUCAUUAGCUUGGUACAUGACAAUCCUAUAUGGUUUCAUCCCACAAUGGUUUAGUAUCCUAGUGUCACACACCCAAACCUUAGCAAAGAUGUCAUGCCGUUGCAAAAAGAACAAGUAGCUCAAUGGUUUGUGCGAUAAAUCCUGUCCUUGAGGUGUUCGUUUACCAAUUUGUACCAAAACAUUGUCUUAGCUCCCACAUGAUAUUACCUCAAGGCAGUGAACAUAAUACACCUCUAUGAUAUGCCAUAUAUAUAGAUAUGAUCAACCAAGAAUUGAAUUUUCCUAUUUAUAUGCCCCUGGUACCUUUGAAACAUUCGAAAAGGGUCAUUUCAUUGUAGAGUAAGUAAAUAGUGAAGCAAAUGCCAAAAUGUGAGUACAAGGGGUCCAGUAACACCAUGGAAAUAAAACCAUGGGAAAGACAAAAGUUUUCUGAGAAAUUACAAAAAAGAAUCACCUGAUUUGGACAACAAAUGCGAAAUGUAAACAUGUUUAACAUUUUUAUUAUGAAUCAAAAUACAAAAUAAAAAGAUCACUAUGAACCGAACUAGAACAGCAGAAGAACCCGGCACUGACAUGUGGGACCCACAUGUCAGUCGCACAUCGGGCCAAAACUAUGUAUAAAAAUGUUGAAAACCAAGAAGAAUAAUGAAACAACAAGUAGCUCAAUGGUUUGUGCGAUAAAUCCUGUCUUUGACAUUCUAGGUUCUUUUUCAAUUUUUUUCCUAAUUGUUUGAUUUUUUUUCUCAAUGUGGGCCCUAUGGCUUUGGUCCACAAGCUGGAUAGCACUAGAGGUCCACACUUCCCCACCGCUUCGUUCCCCCACCGCUGGCCGGGGGGCCAUUUGUAUAAUGCGCGUGGCAGCCGGGAGCUCGUCGUCGCCCACGGUGCCGCCCAGGCCGGGGGGUCAACAUCGCCCGCGGUGCCGCCCAGGCCGGGUGCUUGUGGUCGCCAGCGGUGAUGGUGAAGGAGAAGUUCUCCAAGCUGCUGCUCGGAGAGGACAUGUCCGGCACCAUCAGGAAGGUAAUCCAUUCACUCUUUCACGGAUCCUAUUGUUUCCCUAUUAUUUUCGAAAAAUCAACUCUCUGGAUUCUCUGAUAAGUGGGCCGACGACCCUGCAACCGCCAUCCUAAAAUUCAUCUUGCCGAAAAUUGAUUUGGCGCUGGGCUGCAGUCAUUUACCGCUAUUGGCCCGCCCGUCCUGCGAAAAAAUUGCAUCUUCACCUCCCCCACCUCCUCACUAACCUCCCCAUAUCCUCUGUUCUUUCCUUUGCCUCAUCCAUCUCGAUCCUCCUUUCUACACCCGCCGUCGGUAUCCCUUCGGCAUCCCGUCGCCAUCGGGUGGGACUUCGGCGCCAUCAGGUGAGGCACUGGCACUUCUACAGGCUGUUGCCUAUGAGCCCCCAAACAGAUCCUUCCUAUCGUGAUCCUUUUGUUUUUAUUUUUAUUUUUUUGCGUUGCAGUAGUGUUACCAGUUCACCUAUCACUUAUUACAUUGACGUAUUAUUGAUAUAUUGCGCUGAAAUCCUGAAACAGAUGAGCCAAUAAUGUUUAGGUCCUGAAUCUCUAAGAGUGUAGAUCCUAAGUAUUCUAGUAGGUCUAAUCUGAAACACAUUAAUUCCUUCGAUUCUCUGAAUAACAACUCUUUUUAUUUGGAGAGGUUAGAUUAUACAAUAUUAAUUGAUGCAAGAUUAACUACAUAUAUUUUGUCCAUGAUCUUGUAAAGCAGUUUAGCUUCCCAUGCCCUGUUCUUAUAAGGAAGUUUAGACCUUUGAGUUGCUUUCUGUAGUACACCUAUCCUUUCUCCAACCGGAUCAGCCAUCAUCAAGAUGGAUUUUAGAACAAGCAAUACAGAUAUAUGUCAGCUGGACUUGGUUGUGUCUUUGUCUGUGUUUAAAUGGUUAGUUAGCUAAAAAGCGACUACGUUAAUUUUGCAAUUGCCAGCCUUCUAUUCUUGUUCCAUCCAUUCAUUCCUUCCUGAGCUAAUCGCGGUCUAGUUUGGGGAUAUAAAAUGACUUUGUUACAUGAACUGAUUAAGCAUGAUGAAGAUUUCUUUAUCUCUGUUUCUUUCUUUCUUUUUUUAGUUCUUGCUUUAUCUGAUUUUUAAUUACCAGUAGCCUUCGUGAUUCCAGGUUUCACUGCUCAAUUCCGUAGCCUACUCUACGUAUGUGUGCUUUCAGAUUACUCUUGCUUUCUGAAUGACUGAAUCUGAAAUUUAAUUAAUGUGUGUGCAGAAGAAAUCAUGGUAAGACCACCUCGAAGGUUAAGGAACUUGAACCUUGAAGAAGAAGAGGAUGCAGAAUAUAUUCAGAAUGGUUAGGACAACUUAGCAGAGAAUGAGAACAAUGAUGACUUACAGGAUCCUCCUGAUGUUAAUCGAUUAUUAGCCCACCUGCCACGCCACCAUCCAUGAACCCCCAUUAAGAUAAUAUGUAAGUUUCAUAUUUUUUCCUUGCAUAUCCAAAUGCAGUGUCAAAUCAAUUUGUUUCAUAUAUGUAGGGCCAAAUGAAGAGGUCAGACAAGUUUCAGGGGAUUUCAGAGUUUCAAAUCUAGCCGAUUUAGGAGGAAAGGUAAUUGUAGGUACUGAUGAAAAUGGUGUCCCAAAUAAAAGGUCAGCCUCCAUACUUGCUCAGUACCUUGGAUAGACAGCAGAAAAACCAUCAUUAAUUCGUUUACACAUUGAAAGAUGGGAUAGUGCUCUGUUUAAUACUCACAAGCAACAAAUAAUCAAGGAUGUGGAGGUAAAAUUAAUCUUACUAGUUCAAGCAAGUACCUCAAUUUUCAUCCAUCUAGUAGCAUUUACCUCUACUCUUUAUAGGAAUACUUUCAGUUCCCCCGCCAAAUGAUGAAUCUUACAAGGGAUUGGGUGCUAAGGAAUGUUAACAAUAGGUGCCGAUCCUACAAAUCAAAGUUGAAGAAAUAAUAUUUCAAUCAUGAAGAGAGAUUUCUAGAUGAAAUCAUAAAUGGGAAACCAAACAAAGUGAAUGAACUUCGAUGGAAAGCUCUUGUUGGAUUUUGGUGUCGAGAACAACAUAAGGUGCCAUCCUUUUAUGUAACAUUUAUAUGCAGUUUGAAAGCAACGAGUGUAACAGCACUUCAUCACUCUUCUACCUUUGCAGAAAGUAUGUGUGACAAACCCUAGAAUCGCAAAAGAACAGAAGAAUACACACACAUCAGGGAGAAAAAGCCAUGCUGGGCUGAAAAAAGAGAUGGUGAAAUAUAUUCAUCCAAUGUUAUUUAUUAUAUUCACUAUCAUCUAAUUUAGAUCUGUAAUGAGCCUCAAGCUCUGUUGUGCAGGAUAGAAUUAUGGGAGGCUACUCAUAAGAAAAAGAAUGGCAGAUACACUACCCACAAAAGUGGAUGCUGUAAUGGUACAUUUUCUAAUCCUAAGCAUUUAUGUUCGAUCUGAAAUUCUGUUUACCAUUCUAUGACCUUCCACUAUUUUUAUUUCUAUAAAAUGUGUCAUAUGAGGAAUAAGAAAAAAGGCAACAAAACAACAAUGGUAAUCUUUCAGCUCAAGAUUUUAAUGAGGUGUUCAAUGAGAUAGUUGCUAAGGAGUUAAAAGCACGUGGGUACUAUGAUGAUAAGUACUAGAGUGAAGUUCGAGUGUCUCAAGGUCUAACUUUUGUCACUCAAACUGAGGAAGAAAGAAGGUACCAAGAGAAACUAAAUGAAAUGGAGAAUAAGAUGCAACGCAUGGGUGGUUUCAUGAAGCACUAGCUUGGUUUCAUGUUAAAAAAGUUUCUUGAAGAGGAUUUCAUAAAGGAAAUGGUAGCAGAUCUACGUGAUGAUGAAGUAAGCAUCUAUUCGACUUGCCAUAUAUAUUUUUACCUUGCUCAUUGUCUCCCUCAUUUGUUGUAUUGCACAUGUACAUAUCAAGAAUAAAACAUUUGACAGAAAAUGACAGAUUAAUUGUUCAGGAAAUAAAAUGACAGAUGUUCAUCAUAAUUUUAGUUUUAUUAACUCUGUCAAUCAUAAACUGAACAUUGAUUGUAAUAUGCCUUACAUAUUAAACUGGAACACAGUAUUGUAUUUCUGAUCAGAUAAGAUGUGAAGAUAAACAUUUGUUCCUUUUUCAGAAUGGCAACUAGAUCUUUAUUUCUCAUUGAUAAUAAUGAUUAGAUAUGCUAUUAUGCUCUAAAUAUUAGAAUGGUUCAAUCUAUUAUUUUACAUAUAUGUGUCCUUAUAUAUUAUAAUAAACUGUAUAUAUGCCUACCACCUGGAAGUAAGUCCUCCCUCUUUGAAUUGUUUAUUUUUUCAAGGAUGGGCUUCUAGAACCAGAAAGUUAUACUGAUCACAGCCCUGCACACUCACUUGAUAAUGUGCACUCUCCCACAAAUGAAGUGCAGGUAAUAGAGUAUAUACUUUAUUUCUAAUGUACACAGCUACAACAAUAAUAUUAAAGUUUUUGCUAACAUAUUAUGUAAUAUGGAUGAUGACACUUUGCGGCAGGAGACAUCCACCCAAGACCGUACGUCUUUACCUAGUGAGCAAACAGUUGCUAAGGUAUGCUUAUAUUGUUCAGAGCAUACAAUUUGUUUGCAUAAAAUUUGUUUGCUGCAAUUGGGUUAGUGCCAAAAAUGUAGGUCCAGAUAUCUUGCUGAUCAGAGUUUGGUCAAAUUCAGCAAUGGUACUUGGCCCUAGCUAUCCUAGUGUAUCCAUGUCAAAUUUCAGUAGAAGACAAACUCUGCUUUGUGUCUCAACAAUGCAUAUAAUUUUAGUUGAAGACGAACCAUGGUUGUCCCAGCAUAUAUACUUUCUCUAAUCUAUAAAGUAUCUUUUUAGUUUAUUAUCUAAGCACAAAGUGCUACUGAAGUAGAAAACCCUUCCUGUUAGGUUGGUUAACAAUGCACCAACCUAAGAGCAUACAAGUUGAGUAUGGUAUAAUCAAGUAGACACAACCUCGUACAGUUAUCUACACUGUGGCUGUAGGAGGCACAUAUUCAGAGUUCUAUUCACGAAGGUAAUGGUAAUGCAGCCACAAUUUUUUCACAGGAUCCCAUAUUGACAAAUAUAGUAUGUCUAAGCUAACAUUUAAAUAUUGUUUAUAAUGAGUGAACUUGCUUUAGUGAUGUUGUAUUCUGACUAAUAUAAUUUCUACCUAUUCUAGAGGACUCGAAGAGUUAAAGCCCCCAGUUUGAACCGGUCAGAAUUGGUAUGCUUCUAUUCUGCUUGUUUCUUUUAUAGUUAAAUUUACAAAACUCUUAUCUUCAUGUUUUGCAAAAUGGUAGUGCCGUUAUCCAUCUAUCUUCUUUCACUAAGAAAUAAAGAAGAAUUGUGGCCAAAGUCAAGUUAGUGACUACUGAUGGCAAACGAGAGAUUGGCGGAAGCAUGCUUGGAAAGGAAUAUGUUGGGUUUAUGUUAAAGGUCUUGAAAAUUAAUGUUGACAGUAGAAAUAAAGGAAAUGAGCUGAUACCUACACCUAUUUUUGAGAUUCGUACACUAAUAGAUGCUAUUGGCUAUACCAUUCCUUGGCCCCGUUCACAUGUAAGUUUUUUUUUUCAAAGAAUAAACCUACAGUUUCGUAAUAUAUUCAAAUUAUGUUAUUCAUCUAACCCCAUGCCCCGUUGCAGGUGAAGAAAGCUACAAGUUUAAAUCUGAAACAACCUGGUGAUGUAAUUUUUCAAGGGAGAAGUGAAGCUGCGAUGGAGAGAGGGACAAUAACAGGCAAUGAAGCAUAGGUUUAAAUCGGAAACAGCAUGUUCGGUUGAACUGUGCUGCUUGGCUCUGCUCUGCUGCUUGGCCUGUUCGGUUGAGCUGUGCUGCUGUUCUGUUGAUCCGUGUGGCUGUUCUGCAAGAAGGGGCAAUGAAGCUAGAAACCCGCCAAGUUGAUCCGUGUGCUGUUCUGUUGAGCUUGGCUGCUUGGCCUGUUCUUUGGUGGCUUGACUUCCGGUGGUUCGGACAAUGCUGUGCUGUUCGGAUGACUUGGACAGGAUUUAGCAGAAGCGAACACAUGGUUUAGUUGUUAUUAAAAAAAUUAGAAAUAAUUGUAUGAUAUUGUCAUUUGGUCUGUGUUUCUUUAUUAAGGCAAUUGUCUUGUUGAUAGUACUUACUUGUUGGUUCAAAGUACUUAGUUUUUUUUGAAGCAAAGAAUUGAUUGCCAAUGCAAUGUCAUGGAUAAUUUAUUUAGGCAUUAUUAACCGAUUCGAAAAUAAAAUGAUAUAUUGGAUUUAUAAAUGCAAAUAAAAGAAUCAUUAUAUAUUAGUUCACAUGAAAAUAGAUGUAUCUAUAAAUCAUCUCUACAUUUCUUAAUACACAAUGUGGUGUUACUAUAAAACGUGUCUAUAUCCGUACACGCGUAAUAAAAAUGUAUCUACGAUAUUGUUUCUACAUUUGUUAACACGCAAUUUGGUGUUACUAUGAAACGUGUCUCCCGCCAUGUCACCAGCCACAUCAUCCGCCAUGUCACGUGCCACGUCACCCGCCAAAUCAUCCGCCAUAUCACCCACCACAUCAUCCGUCACGUCACAUGCCACGUCACCUGUUACGCUCUACUAAAUCGUCUCUAUAUUAAUUAUUGCGCAAUAAGGCGUCGUUAUAAAAGGCGUCUAUAUUAGUAGGCAUGUUUUGUAUACGUAUCUAUAAAUUGUAUCUAUAUUUAUUAACACAAAAUGAAGCGUUACUAUACUACAUAACUACACCAAUAGAGACGUUUUAUACAUGUAUCUGAAAAUUGUAUCAAUAUUUUUAGACAUGCAUCUAACAUGUUUAUAAAAUGUCUCUUUUUUUCGUAGCAACACUGAAAGGAUUCAUCUCUACAAGAUCUGACACGGUACAUACGAAGAUGCUUCUAACAUGUUUUAUGAAAACGUGCCUACAAUGAUAUAGAGACGAAAUAAAGCGUGCCUAAUUCUAAAUCUAGCGUAGCUAUUGGAGUUUUUUUUUUCAAGUAAUGAUCACCCUCGUUUCCCUCUAUAUGCUCCACCCCAAUCUGCACUCUCCUCCUGCCACCUAGAGCCCUAACGGUAUCAUCGCCACCACGCCGCACAACCACACAAUCUCCAUCCAACUCCCCAUUCUAGCAACGUCUGGGCCAUCAUUAUUAUAGCCUAACCCCCACCCAGACCUCAAACCCUAACCUUGCUAGUGUCAUGUAAGCCUAGUCUAUUGAAGCCUAUUAGCAAAUAUGGCAAAGUAAAGAAUUUUUUAAUCACCUUCAGGACACGUAGCGUUUCAGUGUUUGGGAAGCAAGACAUUAUCCCUGUUUUAAUUUGUCAAUAUCUGAACGCUUGGAACCACCAUAUCAACCAAAAUUCUCCCCCAGAUAACCAUAUCAAAUAGUAAAGCCAAUCGAUGUGUUUUAUACCUUAAUGGCAUUGCAAUAGUUGAAGAACAAGCUCCUACAAGCCUUUUGCCGGCGAGCACGUAGAUCCGGUACCGGAGGAUAUGCUGGGUGUCGCGGAAGUAGCACACUAGCACGUUGUGUCAGGGUCACGAAGCGGGAAGAGGGUGCCGCGCCAACGUGGCUGGGAUUGCUGAGGAGGAGGUCGAUGUCUUCGAGGGCGAGCGGGUUGGAGGCCGAGAGCCCGCGCCACCGGAAGCAGAGCACCGCCGUUCGCACUGCCUCUUGAUUGGAAGGAGCCGAGAAGGAUACGACGCUGGGCAGGAAUGCCGUCAAUCGGGCUGGCCGUCGCUCCUGUAGGGGCCGUCGCCGUAGGAAGCCGAUCGAUCGAGACGGCGUCGCUAACGCUACUGGAUCUGGCGGAGAAGCAAGAAAAGAUUUUCUUCAAUCUGUUGUGUUGUUCAUGGCGGCUACAGUCACGAGGACUGUGAGGUGGAAGGAAAAACUGUGUGCUCCGAUCCUGCUGUGCUCCCUGGUGGAGAACGGAGUGAGGGUUCCCGGAUUUUGUGGGCCGACGACUGGCAAUUAUUGAAUGUGGGCCAUCUCUGCUGCUAUUCCAAGGCUCCGAGCAAAGAUUCUUUGUUUUUGACCUUCCUAAAAAUUUAUACUUGCGUUUAACAAAUGGGCCACGAGGCAGUUCACGAAUCUUACCUAUAGCUGUAGCCGAGAGAUAGAAGAUCAGAAAAUAUAGCAUAAACAAGUGAAAAAAAAUAUAGCAUAAUCUUACCUAUAGCCCGCCGCCCCCGGCCUCCCGCCCUCCGUCGCUGCCUCACCUCACUCCGCUGCUGCUCCUCACUGCCGGUGAGGGGCGAGCGGAGGGGGGAGGGGAGGGGAGGCAGAGGAGGAGAUAGAGGAGAGAUAUAGAGAGAGCUAGAGGAUGAGGAGAGAUAAAGGACCGGAUGAGGAGGAGAUAAAGGAGCAGAGGAGGAUGGAUAAGAGGUGGAGCUCUUUAGUAUCGGGUGGGAGCUCCACCCGGUACUAAAGUCACCCAUUAGUACCGGGUGGAGGCUCCACCCUGUACUAAUGUGCCUUAUGGCUUUUAGUACCGGAUGGAGCCCCCAACCGGUACUAAAGGGCUCACGGGGACCUAUCUGUUAAGUUCGGUACUAAUGCAACUGGUACUGAGCCUCGGGAUGAAUGCUCAGUUUUCCAGUAGCGUAUGACGAGCACAGUAGGAAAACUUAAGCACCGUUUUUAAAUAUAAGGGUCAUUUGAUAGCUUACAUUUUGUGGACUCGUAAUAAAUACUAUUACAUUUUGUGGACUCGUAAUAAAUACUAUUACCUCCGUUCUCUCAAAUGUAGGAUAUAUAAGCUAGCUACUUCAUUUUUAAACUAAUUAACUUGCAAUUAUAUAUCUUCGGCACAUAUAAAAUCAAAGUUGCUUUGAUUAUGUUUUCUAGAAAUAUUUUUGUAUUUCUCAAAUAUAACUUCUUUGAAAUACACAUAGCAAGCUCAAUCAGACCUUCAACAAAGCACACAUAUAGGACAUAUCCUUUGGAUCUAUAAAACAUAAAUUAUUUAGACCUGAUUAGAGGAUGGGCCAAGGCGAGUAUGAUCCGACCAGGACAAAAUGACUAGAUAUACUUUUAGGCCUGAGUACAGCGGCUGGUGGAAAAUUCAGGGCAGACCUUGCCUGAAUAGUGUUUUUGGGUAGUCCGUGAAGUUCGAUUUCCCCUUCUAACAUGUAUUAUUCGACUCUCACUACGUGCAGCGUUCAAUUUUUUUUGGCUCACAUCAAUUUUGCUCGGCAAUGGAGCUGCCCUAAGUUUGUGAGGAAAAAUAUAUACUAUAAAUGUAAUGUACUAUAUAGCAAUCCAUUUUAACUAUUGCUUCUUUCAUUUCAAAUUGUAGGUUAUUUUGGCUUUUCUAGAUACAUAAUCUUUGCUAUGUACCUAGACAUGAUAUAAAUCUAGAAACAUAGAAAAACUAUUAAUUAAAAAAAUUAAAAUGGUCUAAAAUUGGAACAGAGGAGCAUGUACUAUCCUCCUCUCUGUAAAGAAUAAAAAAUAAAUACAUUUUUUCUUGUAGAAAUUUGAGAUCGAAUUUUGGAUAUCUCUUUGACAUUCGUAACAUCAAAAAAAUUGCACUGCUUCGAGAGAAAAAAAUCUGCCUUUUAACGCUAAGAGCAGCUCUAGCGUAUGUUUUGGGGUAGUGCUUGCAGGAGAGAGAAAGGUAAGGAAGCAAUGCCAUACCAUACGCUGGAGCAAAAAAUUUCAUGGUGCUCCGGUAGCACCUGGAGCCAAGUUGAGCAGCCGGUGCUCGGGUGAUAGCAUGUUGUCAUGAAAGGGCUGUGCUUCCAUAGUUGUUGAUAUAGAGUAGUUUUUUUUCAAUUCAAAGUGGGACCACCACUGGCACAUGGCAAGAAGCUAAAUGCUGGACUGUUUUUUUGCUGCAGCAGCUACCUGUGACGUGACUUCUUUUGCAUCCAGGGAACAGACUAUACCCUGCUCCUGCUAUAACGCUGUCCGUAAUCGUCGUACUCUAUUUUCAUCAUCUAAACAAAAUAUUAUAUCCUAGUCAUUAAGAUUCUCUCCUCUAUAUCAAUUUCUCCUGCACCUGUGUUACUCUAUAUUCCAUACUCUAUACCAACUACCCCAUAUUUUAUUCCCUCCCUCUCUCUUCCCAACUGUUCCCCUCUCCCUCCCGACGCCUCGCCCUCCCCGCCGCCCCCUCGUAGUCCUCCCCGCCGGCUCCUCCUUAGCCUCCCCGCCACCCUCCUCCUCCUCCUCCUCCCCGCCGGCGCCCUCCCCCUCCCAUCCGACGCCUCCUCACACGGCCUCCUGGGCCUCCUCCCCGCCGUGACCCCCUUCUCCCCACCGGCUCCUUCCUCCACCUUCUCCCUGCCGGGUCGGGCACUGCGGCGCGCAGACGGCUCAGGAGGCGGCGGAUGGCGGCGCGGCGCUGCUCCGGCGGCUUGGGGUAGGGAUGGUGCGAGCUGGCACAAGGGGCCCAGCAAACAGGAGCUCGGGGAAGGACCGGCCAUGGUGCACGCGAGGGACCCCCUCCUUCCCGCCGAAUCCCACCGGUGACCCUAGGAACUCCCCCACUGGCUGACCUUCUCCGUCGAAGCAAGCAAGAGCCAUGGAAGCCUUCAUCUCCUCCCCCCGCAGCACCAUCCCAUGUCAAGCCGUGCUCCGUCCUGUUCUUCCUCCCCGCCAGCCCCCUCCUCCUCCUCCUCCCCGUUGGACCGUUCCUCCUCCCUGCCGGCUGGAUCCUCCUCCUCCAGCGGCGGAUGGGACCCUGCGGCGGUGGCGGGUCCAGCGGCGGCGGCGGCGGUCCAACUCCAAGUGAAGGCGCGAGGGGUGGUCGUUGGGCAGGCGACCUUGGGAGCCGGGUAGUGGACGUCCUGAGCAUCCGCUAGGAGUAGCGGACGGGCGACGGUCCGUUUGCGUAGCAGACGCCUCCUAGUACCGCGGUGCGGGGUUUUUUCUACUACUGCGGUACUAGAGGUUGUUUUAGUGUGUCCCGGUGCGGACAGCCUAAUGCGUUCCGCCAAAUUGAGAGAAAAUUUCUUAUUUGCUAUUGGAAUUUACAUUAUUUCCUUAUUUAUCGCUGAAAAAGUUUUCCUUCCUUAUUUGCUAUUGCCUUAGAAUUGCAUUCUCUAUUUGCCAUUAAUGCUGUUAAGUUGAAAAAAAAUAGUUUUACCCUUUUAAUAUAGGGAUAUAUUAUUGUAAAAUUUAACCGGCUGCAUAUGCAUGGCAUCAACACAUCUUUAAAAAAAUAUUAGGCUGAUAUGAGCAUGUAAAACCAGUUGGAUAUAAAUUUUACAAUGGAUGGACCUAUGUCAUGAGGGUAAAAAUAUCUUUUCAUAUCCAACUUAACACUGAUGGCAUAUAGGGAAUAAAUUUUUGAGUCGAUUGUAAAUAAGGAAGGUAAACUUUUUCGAUGGUGUAAAUUUCAAGGGUAAAUAAGGAAUUUUCUCCCAGAUCGAGACCUAGGAGGCUGGCUAAUCCCCACUCCACCCGGCUACUCCCCAGUCCGCCGCCGCCACACCGAGCGACAACAGCUCCCAUUCCCCAACCCAAAAUCCAGCCCAAACCCUUGUCCCACGGAGCAAGGCGGCCGCCAUGGAGCAGCAGCAUCCGCCGCCGCUGAUCACCAUGGAGGCGAUGCUGGAACAGAUGGUGAGUCUCGGCAUGGGCGCGGAGAUGGUGAACCCCGCCAUGGACCUCAUGUACGACUUCCUGGGCACCUUUCUCCCCAGCCCGCCCGUCUCCGCCACCGCCUCCCUCUCUGCCGACUCCUCACCCCCCGGCGGCGGCUCCGAGGACCACCUCAGCGCCCUCCCGGACCAGAUCCUCCGCAACGUCGUCUCGCGCCUCCCCGCCAAGGACGCCGCGCGCACCGCCAUCCUCUCCUCUCGCUGGCGCCCGCUCUGGCGCUCCGCGCCGCUCGUUCUCGUCGACGCCCAGCUCCUCCAAUCGGCCGGCGCCGAGGACUCACCCCUGCGCGCGGACUUCGGCUCCGUCACCGCCGCCGUGUCCCGCGUCCUGGAGGUCCACCGGGGCCCCUUCCGCUUCGUCCACCUCACCCGCAGCUCCAUGGGCGCGCACCGCGCCGAGCUCGCGCUCUGGCUCGACCUCCUCGCCGUCAAGGGCGUCGAGGAGUUCGUCUUCGUUAACCGCCCCUGGCCGCUCGACGUUCCCCUCCCCGCUACGAUCUUCAGCCUUGCCUCCGUCAAGCGCCUCUACCUCGGGGCUUGGAGGUUCCCUAACACCUCCGCUCUCCCGCGCGGCUCGGCGUUCCCGCACCUGCUUGAUCUCGGCCUCGGCUGCGUUGCCAUGGAGGAUAGGGACUAUGACUUCAUCCUCGCCAAGAGCCCCAUCCUGGAGACCCUUGUGGUUUACGCGAGCCAGAAGCAUGUGAACCUCCGCAUCAUCAGCCGCAGCCUGCGGUGUGUGCAGCUGUGCAUGUGCAUUGUCCAUGGCGUCUCCCUGGUGGACGCCCCGAGUCUGGAGCGACUCUUCCUGUGGGACGCGAGAGUGCCGACUCCUCGCGCGAUCGAUAAGAAAAUCUGCACCAGGGUCAAGUUUGGCCAUGCGCCCAACCUGUGUUUUGUGGGAUACUUGGUGCCUGGAGUACAUGUUCUUGAGGUUGGCAACACCAUCAUCAAGGUGCUGUUUCCUCAUUCCCCUUCUUUCAGCAAUGGUUGCUACUUUACAUCUAUGCAUCAAAGGUUGUGUGAUAUUUACGUUGCAAAAUUGAAUGGAUUGCAGGUUGAGACAAGAGCAAGCCCAAGUACCAUCGUCCCAAGCGUCAAGGUAUUGGCCUUGUUGGUGCAUUUUGAAGUUCGCAAUGAAGCCAAAAUGAUUCCCAGCUUCCUCAAAUGCUUUCCCAACAUACAGACACUGCAUAUCAAGGUGAAUUGAACCGCUCCUUGGUUAUAUUGGCGUACAAUUGUAUCACCAUCAUUUGAUUGCUGCUUAGCUGAAUUGUCCAUCACUAACUAGCUGAACCACCAAUUGAUUUGGUUUGCAGUCUGCGAAAAGUGAUCAACCAGCUGGUAAGCUCAAUCAGAAGUUCUGGCAAGAGCACAGUGGCAUCGAAUGCGUGCAAUCACACAUCAGGGAGAUGGUUUUCCAUGAGUACCGUGGGGAGCAUAGCGAGCUUUCCUUCCUGAAGUUCAUCCUGGAGAAUGCGCAGGUGCUGCGGGAUAUGGUCAUUGUAUUUGUCAGAGGUAGUUUAUCUUCAGGGGACAAUGCAGCAGCCAAACUGAUGAAGGAUCUAUCAUCUGUGAAAAAGGCCAGUGAAAACUGUAGACUGGUGAUCAUGGAGAGCAGUAUCUCUAUGGGUGGUACUUCUUGGAGCUGCCAAGUAGCAUCAAAUUUUGAUGUCGCGGACCCUUUUUAUUACUGCUACUGAACCCAGCAUGGCCUGUAGCCCUGUAUGUCUCAUGAUCCAAGCUAGCUUUGCCUGCAAGUAGAUUGUGUUCUGUUCCAAGAAACUAUUUCAGACUGUUGGCAUGUAUUUUUCUGAAGAUACUGCAGGUUCCCAGCAGCACAUAUAGCAUGAGCUUAGUGCUUGAAGUUAGCAGGACCGAGACUAUUUUGAUGGUCAAUGUACUUGGUAAUUUGGUACUGUUACCCUUGUGAUCCUCUGGUGAUUCUGGUUUCUUCUCAAUGUUUCAAAAAAAAUAUAUUCUGGUUUAUUUUGAUGUGAUGUGACCACCAUUGCUGUGAUUCAAGCUACGUUGGGGUGUUUGGAUGCGAGGUACUAAACUUUAGGAGGGUCAUAUCGGAUGUUCGGACGCUAAUUAGGAGGACUAAACAUGAGCUAAUUAUAAAACUAAGUGCAGAACCCCUAUACUAAUUCGCGAGACGAAUCUAUUAAGCCUAAUUAAUCCAUCAUUAGCAAAUGAUUACUGUAGCACCAUAUUGUCAAAAUCAUGGACUAAUUAGGCUUAAUAGAUUCGUCUUGCGAAUUAGACUCCAUCUGUGUAAUUAGUUUUGUAAUUAAACUAUAUUUAAUACUCCUAAUUAGUAUCCAAACAUCUGAUGUGACAAAAGUUUAGGAAAGUUUAGGAGUGUGUAUUCAAACACCCCUUUAGUAUAAAUUCAGAUGAUGGCAUGGAGAGUCCUAGUUGUAGUUUCUGUGCUGCAGUGUGUUUAAUAAGCAGCAGCAGAAAGACAAAGAGGACAACGUGAUGCUAUGGCCUUUAACAGUUUAACUUACUGUGCUCCUUGUUGCUUCAGAUCUUCAACAUGAUGCAGUUGUCCUGAUUGUCUUUCUGCUGCUGUUCAUUCUGUCGUUACCAAAGAUGGAAAAGGGUAACCGAAACCAAGGCGAAAAUCUCCCAAGCCGAUCAGCCUGGGUCUGCUGGGGAUUUUCAGCCCCUCUGCCUUCCAAAUUUUUGUGGCAGCGCGUACAUCUAAAAAUACAUCUAACUUCUUGAGUCCCACACAAAGUUCAAAAGAAAUAAUAGAAUUAAGAUAGAGUAUGUUACAAGGUACCUGAUUUAGUGUCGUCAGGCUUGACGUGGCCGUUCUUCCUCUAUGGUAUAAACGUCAACAUAAUUGAUAGGCACGCCCAUUCUCUAGGCAGGUAUGGCAAAGGAUCACCACCUGGGCGACCGAAUUGGUGACAAUGCCGGCAACUGAUUCUGAAAUUCAGGAGUGGUGGUGCUCCUCCAUCAGAGCGAUCACCAAGGACAAGAGACGAGCUACAGCAGCAAUACUCAUAUACACGGCAUGGAACCUAUGGAAAGAACGCAACCAGAUGAUUAUUGAAGGUUCUCAGUGCUCGGCGUUGCAGGUGUUCUUCCUCAUCAAAGAAGAAAUCUGGUUACGACAGACGGCUUGUGGAGUCCCGAGAAUCGACUAGUUUGACAAAUGUACUUAUAUGUGAAAUGUGUGCUGAGUUUUCUUGCAUAUCAUGUAAUCUAAGCAUUGUAAACUGAUCCUUUCUCCUCUCCUUAUAUGAUAUGGCAGUGCUCCUGCCCUUUACUUUUUAAAAAAAAUAAUUGAUAGGCACCACGUUAGGUUCCAAGAAUACCUUUAGUCAUUGUUCAUUCAAAUAUAUUGAUCUCCCUUGAUGUCCAUGAUUGUUACUGCUCCGGUAGAUGAUACAGAAUGAACCACAUAUGGUCUAUCCCACUUGCUCAUUAAUUUUCCUUUACCGAAGAGUUUGAACCUAGAGUUGAAUAGCACUUUGUCUCCUUUGAUUUUUUUCUUAUGAAACCUUUUAUCGAACCAUCUCUUUGUUCCCUCCUUAUAAAUGCGUGCACUGUGGUAAGCUUUAAGCCUCAUCUCUUCCAAUUCGCUUAUUUGAAUCCUUCUUUUUACUCUCGUAGCAUCAACAUAAACAUUCAUCUCUUUUACGACCCAAUAAGCUUUAUGUUCAAGUUCAACAGGAAGAUGACAUGUUUUUCCAUAGACGAAUUGAUAUGGGGUCAUACCUAUAGGUGCCUUAUGAGCUGUCCUAUAUACCCAUAGUACUCCGUCUAGCUUCUUUGACCAAUCCUUCCCUCCUUUGAUUACCAUCUUCUUCAAAAUAUCCUUUAGCUGUUUAUUUGAAGUUUCCGCUUGUCCAUUUGUUUGAGGAUGAUAGACUGUAGAUACUCUAUACGAUCCCCAAUUUUAAUAGACAUUUGCUAAAAUCCUUUCUUAUGAAAUGCGAUCCUCCAUCACUGAUCAAAAUUCUUGGCACUCCAUAUCUAGGAAAUAUUAUUGUCUUGAUCAUAUGGAUUGACUCUUCCGUCGUCGCCUUCCAACAUGGAAUAGCUUCUACCCAUUUAGACACGUAAUCCACCAUGACCAAGAUGUGCUCAAAUCUGUGUGAGUUUAAGAAUGGUCCCAUCAAAUCUAUACCCCAAACGUCAAAUAAAUCCACUUGCAAAUUGUAGUUCAAUGCCAUAGAAUUUCUAGCUGAAAUAUUUCCUGUUCUUUGGCAUUCCGGGCAAGUAGCAACGAAUCUCUUUGCAUCUUCAUGCAUCUCUAGCCAAUAAAAUCUGCUUGCCCAUACUUUUGCUUGAGUUCUGAAGUGUCCAUAAUGUCCUCCAUAUUAUGACGAAUGAAAUUUCUAAGUACCGCUUCCCUUUCCUCUCUUGGAAUGCAUCUUCUUAAUACCCCAUCUGCUCCAUAUCUAUAUAGGUAAGGUGCAGACCAAUAAUAUUUCUUGCUCUCGGCAACUACUUUUCUCCUUUCAUUCCUGUGUAAGUGAUUUAAGGGAGCUCUUUUUAUUGCUCUAAUAAUGUUGUUCAUCCAGCUAUCUUUGUCGAGCAUUCUGUACAAAUGAUCGUCUCUCAUUCGAUCUCCAAUAGGUUCCUUUCCAUCAUCUUGUUGAUACAUUUUUGACAAGUGAUCAGUCACCACAUUUUCUAAUCCCUUUUUAUCUCUGCUCUCCACAUCAAAUUCUUGUAGCAGCAAUAUCUAGCGAAUCAGACGUGGUUUAGCACCUUUCUUGCACAAAAGAUAUUUAAUCGCAGCAUGGUUGGUGUACACAAUCACCCUGGAGUUCACAAUAUAAGAUCUGAAUUUUUCAAAAGCGAACACUACCGCAAGCAAUUCCUUCUCUAUAGUUGCAUAAUUUAUUUGAGCCUCAUUUAAAGUGUUGCUAGCAUAGUAAAUUACGUGUACCUUCCCUUCCUUUCUUUGUCAAGGACUGCCCCAACAGCAUAAUCACUUGCAUCACACAUUAUUUCGAAAGGUAGAUUCCAAUCUAGAGGUUGAAUGAUGGGUGCGCUGAUGAGUGAUUGCUUAAAAAUUCUAAAAGCCUGGAAGCAGUCUUCAUUAAACACAAAAUUCACAUCCUUUUGCAGGAGCUGUGUCAAUGGCUUGGUGAUUUUUGAAAAGUCCUUAAUGAAUCUUCUGUAAAAUCCGGCAUGUCCGAGAAAACUUCUCAAUGACUUAAUGUCUGUAGGCGGAGGCAACUUUUCCACAAUUUUGAUCUUUGCUUUAUCAACUUCUAUCUUUCUUUCGAAGAUGACAUGCUCAAGUACUAUCCCUUGCUUCACCAUAAAGUGGCACAUCUCCUAGUUUAGGACUAGAUCAACUUCUCCACAUCAUUUAAGAACUUUAUCAAGAUUUUCCAAACAGUUGUCGAAACUUGUACCAUGAACUGAAAAAUCAUCCAUAAAUACCUCCAUGAUGUUUUCAAUGAAAUCCGAGAAUAUAACCAUCAUGUAGCAUUGGAAAGAUGCAGGUGCAUUGCAAACCGAAAGGCAUUCUUCUUUAAGCGAAAGUUUCGUAUGGACAAGUGAACGUGGUCUUAUGUUGGUCAUCUAGGUGUAUAGGAGUCUGGAAGAACCCGGAAUAUCCAUCAAGAUAGCAAAAGUGAGAAUGCUUUGCUAACCUUUCGAGCAUUUCGUCAAUGAAAGGCAAAGGGAAGUGAUCCUUUCUAGUUGCCUUGUUCAGCUUUCAGUAGUCGAUGCACAUCCUCCACCAUGUCACUGUCCUCUGGGGGAACAACUCAUUCUUUUUAUUUGUCACAAUAGUAAGUCCUCCUUUCUUUGGUAUGCAAUGCACUGGGCUUACCCAUUCACUGUGUGGUACCGCAUAGAUUAUCCCAGCAUUAAGCAAUUUGAUCACCUCCUUCUUUACUAUGUUGUGCAUGGCAUGACUUAGUCUUCUCUAACCCUCCACAACUGGCUUAUAUUGAUCCUCUAAUUGUAUCCGGUGAGUGCAGAAGGAUGGACUGAUUCCUCUUAAGUCCUUGAUCGUGUACCUAAUCACUUUUUUAUGCUUUCUCAAUAAAUUCAACAACUUCUCAGUUUCUUCUUCGCUUAACUCAUCGCUGACAAUGACUGGAUAUGUCUUGUUGUUCCCCAAAUAUUCAUACUUUAAUCCCUUGGGUAAUGGCUUCUGCUCAACGUCUGGUGCUUCUAUUUCCUGUUGCACCAAUUCUCCAAUAUCUUCAAAUUUUCCUUCUUCCAGAGUUUCAUAUUGAGGUGAAAAUGUAUCAGUUGCUUCUCCUAAUUCAUUGUCUUGGUCAUCCUCAUUAUUUUCCAUUGCUCUUAGUAGAGGAUCCCUAAAAUUUUCAGCAAAACAUACACUUUCUACCUCCUCAUUAUCAGGAGAUAGAUGCAACUUUUUCCGAGAUGCAGGCAGAAAAUCAUAAGUGUAUUUGGCACCAUCAAGAUUAAUAGUUACUUUGCCCUCUCCUGCAUCAAGCACAACAUUUACCAACUUAAGAAAAGGUCUACCAAGGAUUAUUUCACCGUGUUUAUCAUGGCAAGCAUCAAUAACAAAGAAAUCAGUUGGUAUAGAUUUAUUUGAGAUAUUAACUUUUAGAUCUCUAAGCACACCCAAAGGUUCGGUUGUUCUAUCAUCUCCCAUGAUCAAUUUAAUCAGGGUUGGAGCAAGUUGCAAGGUUUUGGUAAAAAGUUCAUCAUAAAGUUUGGAAGACAUGAUACUUCAUGAGCUCCAAUAUCGCAGAGUGCCUUGUCGAUAAUCUUUCCAUUAAUCAUGCAGUCGAUAUGUGGUGUAGGCAAAUGUGCUCCUUCCUCUUGAUUUGUUCCAAUUGCGUAUAUUUGCACCAGGCUGGCAAACGGUGUUGCUUCAGGCUUUACUUCCAUGACUUUUUUUUUACUUCAGCAACGUAUUCUAGGUCUACUUCUUCUUCGCUGAAAUUUUUUUGAAUAAUUUCUCCAGCUGUUUCCUUGUCAAGCACAUACCCAGUGUCUCUCUGGUGGAAAAUCUGUCUCUAUGGUGCUGGUUGAUCCCUUUUGAUAUGGAUAUGGCCUAUGUUUAUCAAAUAUAUCACUAAAAUUGAUAGGAAUCCAAUCCAUUUGCUCAAACUCCCGCAGGGGUUUUGCAUUCGCCAAGCUUCGAGCUUCUGAUGUUUCUGGUUUGUCAUCUUUGAUGCACGGAGCUUCUGAUGUUUCGUUUGCACCAGCAAGUAUAUGUCCUUGAUUUCCUUGCUCUUGUUUUCCUGGUUGAUAGCUAUCCCAUUCUCUGUUUACGGCUACUCCUCUGCUGAUUUUUUGUAGAAGUUGUGCAGCCUCCCUGAGUGUCUUCUCCAUAAGGUCUCCUCUUGCACAAAUUUGAAAAAAGUCCUAGAAUUUUUGGGUUAGUGAAAAAUAGAAUGUAUGCAACAACACAUCACAUGAAAAUCCAAGCUUAGGUCCUUGUUCGAGUAGUCUGUUGAAUCUGCCCCAAGCUUGAUCUAUUCCUUCAUCUUCUCCUUGCAUAAACAUGAUCACUUCCUUCUAAAGGUUCUGAACUUUGCUCACAGAGGAUCGUGACGGGGUCUUUCUCGUGUAAGGUGGGGGUUUUCAGGAAGUUGAUUGGAGGUAGUAGUUUAAAGAUUGCUUUGGAUGAGAUACAUGUUAUGCUUGCUUAUUAGCUAGAACUGCAACUAGAAGAUGAUAGACUCUUGCUAUCCUUGGUGGUGUUAUCAUAUAUAUCUGUGGAUGAGAUCUAUAUUUUACUCAUGAUAUUCACCUUUACAUCAAGUUUUCUCUCAUACGCAAUCAAUGCUUCACGUUAGAAUAGAUCCGCUAGAUUAGAUGAAAAAUCCUAGCUAGUUCACUGUCAAUCCAUGGAUUAAUAAACCUUGGAUGGAAUACUCUAAGGGAAAAGCUACAACUGAUCCGUGCGCUUGCGGUUCACAACUUGGUGUGCUAACUACCAUCAACAAGCUUUUCUAGCAUCGUUGCCGGGAUCGACAACUCGAACCCUAGGGCGAUCUAUCUAAUUUUUCGGACUAACCCUAUUCUUUCUAUUGCAUAUACCCUAUUUUUCUUGUUUGCGUCCUUGAAAGCAGGUAAAUACAAGACACCAGAUGAUGGAGGAAGUGGAUUGAACUUCAAGUUCAUCAAAUCCAAAACCACUCCAACACGAAGAUGAUGACAUCGAGAUUAGCUCUUUAGCAGUAGGUGCUAACUUUGUUAGUGGCCUAGCAUUUGCUAUCGAGUACACACCAAUGAAGAUAAUACAAACAAUGAUAAAUAAGGUAUGCCGCCGUGUCAAUUAUUUUUAAGACUAAUAUUUCUUGGAGAUUUGUUUGUUCAAGUAACAGGUUGGAAGCAACUAUGUCAUGCAAAGAGGAAAAAUUGGAGGGCGUCUCUGCAUAGAAGGAGAUGAUUUGGAGUUGAUCAAGACUGGAGGCAACAAGAUUAGAAGCACCAUGACACUACCAAUCUUCUCCAGUGGGAUGCUCAAGAGCUUCUAAUUGAGUGAUGCAACCAAGGAAGAAAACUACUCAGAUCGUCAACGCAAAGCGCAGGAGCCUCCUCUGAUCCCGUCACUUUGGCUCUAAAGCAAAAAAUCAUGGAAAAGAUGCAUCAUUGCCACCAUGCUACUCUCUGGUGCAGAAAUGGUGAUAACCUUGAAGCCAAAGGAUGUGUGACAUAAUACCCCAAAGACUACAAGAUCAAGAUCAUCAACGUCUCCAGAUCAAUUUGCAAGAAUCUACAGUUGUCAUCAAGAUUUUGCAUUAACUCAGAAGUAAAAAAUAGAAAUAGAACGCUCUUUGACGAGAAAGCCGUCUAGCACCUGUAGCUGGCUUGCUUCACGUCCCGCUGUUUGCUUACGAGUUUGGUAGCAUAAAUUUUUGGAUAUUCAGAAGACCCAUGAAGUCUACAUUCCAACGGAUCAAGCGGCAAGGCAAUCGGAGGUUCCUACAAGCGGUUAUGGUCAAAUGAUCGAACGUCGCACGUCCUGAAAUCAGUUCUGGACAGCACACAGUGCUGAAAUAAAACGGGCACAACUCUCUCAUUUGAACUCUAUUUUUGAUGAAUGACCACUGAUUGGAAAGAUAAUUUUAUAAAAUUUUCAAUAAAUCAAUAUUUUUGUAUAUGUUCUAUUCUGUACGUAGGGGAAAAUCCAUGAAAAAGAGGCAGCCGCAAGGCGAUGAGAACAAGACGGAGGAGAUGAGGAUGACAACAAUGAAGAGGAGCUUGGGAAAUGCUUUUAUCAAGCGUACAUGAUCAAAUUCAGAGGCUUAGAAUAGAAGAAUAACUUUCAAAGUAUUGGUACAUAAAGACACAAGUAGACUACAUCCAAUACAAGGAGAUGUUAGAAGCAAACCAUUAAGGAUUACAAAAGCUAACAACAAACUGCGUGGACACUUUGGAUUCUCGCACAAAGGACCAUGGCUUCGCAUGAAUAUGAGAAAGGUGAGGAGUCUAGCUAUAUGACUAUAACUAAAGCGCUUUGUGGGAGGCAACUCGUCUUUUUUAUUUUAUAUUAAGAUGACGAUCUAUAUUGUGCUCUUCGAUCGAAACCAUCAAGUAACAUUGUACCAUUGCUCUAACAAAUUUUGCAACCACAUGUUGUAUGCUUUAAAUAAUAUUGAGCGAGCGCUUUGUUAUUUGAUCUUGGAAAACCUAUAGAUCCCUUUUUGUGUUUUUUUAGAGUCUUUUUCUUUGUGUCUUUUUAGAGAGAAAUAUGAAGCAUGGCACCACCCCUUUGAUUCUAAACAUGUGGCUAGUUAAUUUAGGCUAACUUUUGCUUUGUUUUAGACCACCUUAUAUCAUGUCAUUUUGUUCUUCCACCUCAUGUUGCCUUGUAUUUUCAUGUUAUUUUUAUCAAAAUAUUUUUCCGCCUAAGCCUCCAAUCAGCCCUGCCAAAAACCAGAGCCAACAAAGGUAGAGUUAACUUGUGUUGAUCGGCUUGCUGCACCAUUCAGAUCAGCUUGAGUUGUUUUUGCCUCUAUUCUGACUUAGCCUUUUACCCAGAGCCAUCCUAAAAUCAUAGGUUUUUGCUUUUCAUCCAAAAAUAAGCCUUUUCUUUUUGUUUCUUUAGAAAAAACUCCUUAGUUAGAAUUUAUAUGCUUGAUUUCUCUCUUCAAAAUUCUUGUUUCAAGUGAAAAAUAUGGGAUACCCAUGAACCUACCCUAAGCCUUGUUAGUUUGGUUGUUGGGUCUUUUCAAUGAAAGAUUUUCUUAUUGACAUUACUUGACUUCUUAUGAAGUGGCUAGCCUUGCUUUGUCAUUCUAAGCAAUUCUUUUUAACUCAACUAAUUGCGGAACAACAUCAAUAGUCUUUUCAAUCUUGCUAGCCUUUGUUUUUGUUGACCCUUUUGCAUGUGCUUUUGCAUUUGAUCCAUCAUUCAUGUGUUAUCUUGGCUUUCUCCUAAAACUUUAUGAUGAAUGCUUUCAUAUCUAUGUUGAUGCUCGCGCGGCAUUUUCCUUUUGCAAUCUUGUGUAAACAUGGUGUUUAUACAUGAUUUCAGGUCCUCACCAUUCAGCUUGAUCAACCUUGCUAGCUAUUCGCAUUGUCUCCAUCUUGCAUUGGUUGGUUUAUAAGCUCUACAAUGCGUUCUAUUUUUCUUGUGCUAUAAGGAGUUAUUGAUCUUGGAAUAAACAUGGUGUUUGACCUUGAUUAAAGUUGUGUAUAGCUAUGGAGGAUUUUAGCAACCUAGUUGUAGGCAUGGUGCUUAGAUCUUGGUGCAAACAUUGUCUUUAUUUAUGUUCCUAUCAUUUGCAUUCAUGUACACUCAUUAGGUUUUUAUUUUUAUUUCACUGAAUUAGCUGCCACAAGUUAAGGUCCUAGGGAUGUCUUUGGUUUGUUGGUAAUUGUUUCUACUCCCGACAGUCACCCCGGGGGUAGUAUGUGCGUUUGAAUUAUUUUGUAGGCAUAGUGAAGCGCUUUCAUGAAAAAGAGAAGAAAUUGAAGGACAAUAAAGGCGACAAAAGUGAAGAAGCAUAAAGACAAGCUUCAGACACUGAGAACAAGGAUUUCAACAAUCACAAAAUGCUUCAUCUUCUUCCAUGCCUAGCACAAUGCUAAGCAUGGGGCAGGACUUGGCGGACGAAGAAUACAAGGAUCACUGUCACUAGGAGAUGCUCAUUUUUUUUCUUCCAUGCUAAGCACAAUGCUUAAGCAUGGGGAGGUUGCGCUACACUUCAUCACAAGCAUCGAAAGGAUGGUAAAUCUUUCCUACACCUUCUCUUUUCCAUCUCUUUCUAAAUGCAUGUGUAUAUAAGCCUUCAACCUUAGACUCGAUGCAACCUUUGUAUAUCUCUCGAUAAUAACAUUGCUUCUAGGAGUACAACCUAGUUUUUAUUUUCUUUAAAUCAUGAUCACCAUCACCUUAUGCCUACCACAAUGUUAUAAUUUUGGUACAAUCUUUUAUGGAAAAAUGAUGAAGGUUGCCGCUUUGUUUUACCUACACAUGUUGUAUAUGACUUGACUAAUUGCUCUCUACUUAAUGAACCUAAAUUGAUUAAAUACCGGCUCUUUUAAUCAUGGAGGUUAAAUGACUAAAUUCUAUACCCACAAACUCUAUGUUGCUCUUUGAUUUAAGUUUACAGAUGACCUGAUAACUUAAUUUGUUUUUAUUUAAAAUUAAUUCAUAUGCUAUCUACAUUUGUGAAUUUCUUGCAAAGCUUUACCUACCAGAGCUUAUAUACAUGUAUGAUCUUUCAUGAUGAAACUUUUAGAUUGCAAACUUAUAUUUUGAUGAGUUGGAUUAAGAUUGAUUUAUGUGGUAUGAGACUUAGAAGCUGGCCAUCUCCUUUUUCUUGCUAGCCUUUCUGUCCAUGCAUUGUGAGUUUCUACACGGGAAAUUUCACAAACCUCGCUGAGCAUCCAACCUAAACCCAAAUUAUCAUUUUUUGUGACUACCUCCUUGACCACAACCUAUUAUUGAGUAUGGAAAAAUAUUUCAAUCGGAGAUUUUAGUACUUACCUAAGCAGUUUAUCUUUCUUUCUCUUUCAUGCUCGGGGACGAGCAUCAUCUAAGCAUGGGGGGAGGAGUCAUCACAUUAUCUGUGACUACUGCUGAGUAAAGUACUAUGUUGCAAGAAGUCCUGAGGAGCAAAAAGAAAAAAAAGAGGAAAAAGAAAGAAGGGAAAAAGGAGUGAAAAAAAAAUAUAACGGAGAAAAAGAAUAAAAUGCUUCUCGGUUCUUUGAGCCUCAUUAAAGUUUCCAGUGCUCUCAAGAUUAAGGAUUAAUCCAUACUCAUUUCCAACCAUGUGCAAUCCGAUUAUGAGAACUUCAUUUGUGCCUCGCGAUCACGCUUUGCCCUUGCACAUGUCCACUUAUCUAAAUGUGUGUGUUCCAUCCCUCUCCCUCUCCAACAUUUAUUUUCCAUAGUGUUUUUGACAAGUCUCAGUAAUCCCAAUAGAUCUCUCUCUUAGUUUGAUAAUAUUUCAGAUAUAAUAUUUUGCUAGUAUUCUUUUUACCUACCAAGCUCCACAUAAGCCUUCCACCUUCAUAUAUGAGUAGAAUAAGUUAUAUGAGUAGAAUAGGUUGAAAAUAAUCUAGUAUAGGCUUGAGUGACUUGAUGAGAUGAGUGUUUCCAUGAGCUUUUGCAAGAGAAUCUCACUUAUGUUGGAUUUGCAUCUUUUUAAAAGACUCUUCAUGAUGGAACAAGGUAAAGGUCUGAAGUUUGUUUAAGUUCAAGAGCAUUGUAUUUAUUUUAUUGUGACAUGUUCUUUAUUGCUAGUUUAUCUUCCAUGAUGAAAAGUAGCCGGUCACAACUUUAACUUUAAAUGCUAAAUACUUGAGAGAGCAAUGUGUCUUGUUAUGCAUAAUUGAGUGCAAGGAUGACAUCAAAGGGCAAUGUUGAUUCCCUCAUUAAGCAAGUAUCCUGGACUUACUCAAGGGCAAGCAAGGCUUAAGCAUGAAUAAAAUCCGAGGAUCAAGUGAGUGCUUUUAGUGUCUACCUUUGCUUUCUUGUCUUUUACUUUGCCCUUGCAACUUUUGAUCUUGAGCAUUGUCUUGAAAUUCUAGAUCUUAGUUAUGGAGUUUCGUAAUUGUUUUGUCUUUGCAAUACCCAUUCUUUAUGAUGAUCUAGUGCUUUGGUUUUAAUUAUGCUUCAUGAUUAAGGCUUAAUUUGGAGGUGAUUUGAACUUUUUAUUGCUUAGCUAAAACCUCUGCAAAAACAAGUUUGAACAAGUUCUCUACUAGGUUGAGGGUUUUUACCUAUCCUAUCCAGUGCCUAAUAUAUAAAUUUUGUACCACCAUAAGUGAAGUUGAUGCUUUGAAUUGAUUUAGGAUCGCUCUCUCUUGGUUAAGCUUUAAUUCUGAGCAUUGAUCAUGUCCUUGCUAUCAUCUCUAUUUGCUAACCUCGUCAAUAUUCAGUAAUGAGAGUUCUUCAUUGGAACAAUCAUAUGUUCUACUAAAUUCCUAAACCCAAACCAAAAAUCUAUCAAUUUUAUUACCUAUUCCUAGAACACAACCCAAAUUUUGAAGAUAUAUUCCAUUUCUGGUUGAGGUUUAUGCACAAAAUAUGGAAGGUACAAGAUAUGGAAGCGUCACCAGAAAGAAGAGUGAGAAAGGAGGGCAGAGGAGGCCAGGCCGAUUGGCCUGGGGUCCUCCAGCCUCGGUUCGUGCACGGAAAAUUCCUGGAAGGUCUCUACAACAUUCUAAAACUAAUUUUUGUAGGGUGUCGUUCAGAGGAGGUUCAAAGAAGAGAUGAAAAAUAAGAGAAGGAAAGAAAAAAAGAAAGGAAGGGAAAAAGAAAAGAGAAAAGAAAAGAAAAAGAAUUAGAAGGAAAAGAAAAGAAAUAAAGGAGGAGUUUUUCACUGUCAUGAAGAUCAAGAGAAGUGCAAAGAAGGAUUACCUUGUUCACGAACAGAUUUUCAUUCCAACCAUGUGCAAUUCGACGACGAGGACAUUGUUGGUGCCUCAGAGUCACUAUUUUAUUUUGCCUUUGCACAUGUCCACCAUUCUAUAUCUUCUCAUCCUUGAAAACCUCAUACAUUGUGGAUAUUCCCAUGAUCAUUGGCUCAGAAGGUAAGCAACCGCUAGAGAGUUUUCUUAUUUCGAUAACAUAAGUAUUGAUUCUCGCUAGCCAUGUCCAAGCUCCACCGCAUAAUGAGUGACUUUUUGAGAGAUGAGAGCUUGUAAAAUAACUAGGAUAGACACUUUUAAAUUAAGCGACAUGUAAGCACCUGGAAGAUAAUUUUGUUUCCAAUUCUUGUUGCACGGAGAUUGUCUUAUAACGAAAGAAAAACCCUCCAAGGUGAGCCAAAAAGUAAGUGUGAUUGAUUCAUGGAGUUACUUAGUUUUAAUAAAAGCUGUGGGGUAAUUUUUGCCUAGAUAAAUCUUUGAACACCUAUACUUCAAUUAUCUUUGUUGCUCCUCUGAUCUUUUGUCGAAGGACUUGGUACUUGACUCGCUUACUCAAGUUUGGUUAAGAUCUUUGUUCGAUUCUUUGGAAAAGUCUGUAGUUGCUUGACUUGCUCGAGGACGAGCAAUGGGGGGAUUGUUGACGCUCGUUAUUGACACACUUUUAGUGUUAUUUAACUAAUGUUUUCAUGCAUACUCUUAUACUAACCCGUAACUUGGCUCCUGAAAUAAUCCCGUUUUCGCAUAUGCUAGAUAUUUUGGAGGAUAUUCUAUUUUCACAGAAAAUUGGGCUAAAUAUGCAUAUUUUGGAUAAAGCCUUGAACGAGCAGUGGACUAGUGAAAGAUGAACACCAGGACGCAAAAAAGGGCCCAGGCCGAUCAGCCUGGUGCCCCUCAGGUCUUCUGGCCUCCACCGACGCUCACUUUUGGCAAGCAAUCCUCCAAGAUGACUUAAGGGCUAAAUUUGUGAAGAUAUAGCAAGGAUCACUUCGGGAUCAAGGAGGAAUGAAAGAAGAUCAAGCGGAGAUUUGGAAAGUUAUUGAAGAUCAAUCUCAUCCCGAAGCUAUCGACGUGCUAGGCCUACAUGCAAGUGAAAAUAAGCUUCUAGAACAACAAAGAAGACUUGGGGACGAAGGAGGGCACGAGAGGCCACAAGGAAGGGCUAGGCCGAUCAGCCUAGACCCCCCCUAGGUCGAUCAGCCUGGGGCCUUCCUUUCUCCCCUCGCCUUCCAAUUUCUGCCAUACGCUCUCCAGACUAUAAAUAUGCCCAAAAUUCAUCGACACACGGGAUCGAUCUACCAAAACUCGACGAGACCAAGGACAUACACCAAAGGGAGCUGACGGCCGCGACAAGUCUUCGAAGUUGUCUAGGAGAUGGCUUAGGCCGACCCUAGCCGCCAUGGCCUCCCUGCGUGGUUGUGCCAUGGUGGAGUUCAGGAGCUAGUUGUGAUCAUCAAUGGUGUAUACUCGGAGGUGGUGAUCUAAAUAUAUCUAUUAUGUGAGCAAUGUUCUUCAUGUUAUCUAAUUUGUUAGCGACUCAAUGCCUCCUUUUAUACACUUCUAUCUAUCAUGAAUAUGCUUGUUCCUUAGUCCAAUUCAUGGUUAGACUACAUAGCUUGCUUUAUGUAAUUAUGGUGAUUACAUCUAGUAAGUUGAUCCUUCUUGAUAGCUAGACAUGUUUACCUUGUGAUCGUGCCCUUAAUCUACCUACGCUGAUAGAGAGGAUCGUGACGGGGUCUUUCUCGUGUAAGGUGGGGGCUUUUGGGAAGUUGACUUGAGGUCGUAGUUUAAAGAUUGCUUUGGAUGAGAUGCAUGUCGUGCUUUCUUAUUAGCUAGAACUGCAACUAGAAGAUGAUAGACUCUUGAUACCCUUGGUGGUGUUAUCAUAUAUAUCGGUGGAUGAGAUAUAUCUUUUACUCAUGAUAUUCAUCUUUACAUCAAGUUUGCUCUCAUAUGCAAUCAAUGCUUCGUGUUAGGAUAGAUCCAUUAGAUUAGAUGAAAAAUCCUAGCUAGUUCGCUGUCAACCCACGAAUUGAUAAACCUUGGAUGGAAUACUCUAAGGGAAAAGCUACAACUGAUCCAUGCACUUGCAAUUCACAACUUGACGUGCUAACUGCCGUCAACGGCGAGCAUAAGAGAUAUUCCAAGCCAUACUUUGCUCCUGUGAACUUUGAAAUGUCUAUCGUACCAUCUUGGGUAGUUGAGGUAAGGAACGACCUUGAAUCAAGUCACUCCUACUCCUCAUGUCAAGUAGCUUGGGGGUUUUCAAUAAGUUUUCAAAAACAACCUUACUUAGCUCCUCAUUUGAUUCUCUCAGAUCACUCAAUGUGUUUAUAUCCUCACCAAGGCUUUGACUUGCCUUUCUUCAUCCUACUUCUAAUAAAGGAUAUAUGUGGAGCUCAAGGUAGGGUAUGAAGGAUAAAGCAUACUUGCAUUAUAUAUGUUGCAAAGUUAAAAACCGGAUCCAAGGAGAAAACAAGUCAUACAAUCAGAUCAAGAUGUGCACGUGUAUGCAUAUGGUGGAUGGUAUAUGGAUGGAAACUCCUUUUUGUAUGAUCUCUCUCCCUUUAUAAACUCUUUUGAGAACAUGGCUAUCCUUCUUUUAUUUUUCUUUUCUUAGACCUUCAUGUGUCCAACUUUUUUUUGAAUAUUUAGACCUUCAUGUGCCCAUAUUUUUUUCGAUAGCCCAUGUCUCUUUUGUAAUGAAAGCUGGAGAGAGAGAGAGACUAAUACAUAUGGUGGAGCAUUUAUUUUUGUGGAAUGGAUGGAUGGUACAAUGCUAACUUCCAGUGUAGAAGCAUAGCAAGGGGUGAAUGGUGUGCUCAUGAACCUUGAUCAUGAAAGCAUGAAAAGAAUCUCACAAGGGUCACAAACAAUUUGACAAAGCUCAAUGCAAAGACAAGCAACAUAUGCAUAAGGUUUCUCAAGGUAAUUCAUCAUAUGGUUUUGGUAGGACUUUGGCAUAUCAAAGAGGAGCUCGCAAAGGUCUUUUUAAAUUUUUCAAAUAAAUUUCCCAAGCACUUUAAACAUUAAGAGUGAAGAUCAUGUCAUCAAAUCAUAUUGCAAACAUCAACUACUUAGAUAGGCAUGUUGUCCUAAAGAUAUUUGUUCACAAGCAUCAAGAUGAUAAGCAAAGAAUAAAACAUAUGCAAGCCAACCAUAGAAAACAUGUAGAGCAGGUGGAGCAUGUUGAUUCAUUUUAAUUGAGCUUGAUUUUAGUGAAAUUAAAUUUUUAAAUUCAUUCAAACUGGUGAAUCAGGGAGAUGAAGGAUAAAGAGACACAAACCAACGCGAUGGACGAAAUUGGGCCUGAGUGGGCCACCCCAUGGGUUCGGCCGAACCAGGGAUCGGCCGAACACCUGUGGGCCCAGCUUUGGCUCCCCUUUUGCGUGCGUGCUGGUGCAGCGUGGUGUGCUCUACUUGUGGGUGUUUGUGCAUCGUUUUAGCUCUGGAGAGUCCAUGGCUCUUCCCCGCACUUGUUUUGUGCCUUGGUGCUUCUUCCAACAAAGACAAGCAAGUAACAUAAGGACUCUACCGAGUUGGAUGAUCGGUGAGUCUAAACUUUAUUGAAAUUAAAAUGGAGGCGCUUACAAUUCUAAAUGGAAAAUAAAAUUAAAGCACCUAAAGGGAAAAGAUACUAGGGACACGUCUACUGAGCUGCAUCGUAGAGAUCCUCGUGCCCCAUGGUCUUAUAUAAGCGCUUCAUCUUAGCGCAAAGACCACAACAAAGGGUAUGGAAGUCAUCCCUAAGCUCUUCCGCUUCUAGUUUCCUCUCUGCUAAAGCAUCACUAAGCCUCCUAUUUCUAAGCGAGUCUGCGUGUUGACACAGUUUUUGACCCGAGUCAACUGUUGUGGAUAAAGUUCUGAUAGCCGAUGGAGAAGAAAGAGCAAACCUAUUGAUGACCAGCGUUGACAAAGACUAGCCACAGAUGGCUUGGGUUCCAGAAGCCGAUGGAAGACCAGAGGAAGACCAAUUCGAAGUGAAAUCGACUCCACCAAAUAGGGGAAAGUGUGGAUGUGUAUCUUUAGUAGUUUUAUUCAUAGUUUGUGUCAUAAUCGACUAGGAUUUUAGCUUGCUCAAAGGUAUAAAUAUAAACCUGUGAGUCUUGGAAUAAUCAAUCAUUAAUCAAUACAACCUUUCAACGCCAUGCCACCAAAACCUUAGGAGUAGGAGUAACAUAGAUUCAACGAGUUCCUACCUACGCGCACGGCUGCAUUGGUUUCAAUCUCAGGCGAGCUUGUAAGUAUCGUCACCCUAUCAUUACGGCCUCUAUCAGAACUUUCUAAGUUAAGUCUUAUAUUCUGAUAUUCGGUUGUGUGGCUAGUUAUCGAGUUAUCUUAGAUUACAAGUAGAACUUUCUAGGCUUUGUCCAAUAUUCUGCUUGUCUUCGACGUUGCUCACAAUUAUCGAGUUUUCUUAGAUUCAUCUAGGUUGUCUUUAUUAGCUCCCUGGUUGUUCCUAAGCGCUCACAGUUAUCAAACGGCUUAGAUCUGGUUAGGAAAUCCUCAUCGGCUCCCUAGUCUUCUCUAAACGUUCACCAGUUAUCUGAUCGUAUCGGCUGGUUAGAUCUUGCAUGCUUUUAAUGUUUUACAUAUGCUAGGUCCGAUAGAUCUUUACCCCAGCCCCUCGUAUUGCUAACCGUCGAGCCAUUGACAUUAGCACACUACUAGUGAGAGUCGAUGCAUCGACUGGGUACCAUCCAUAUCUCACAGAAGCAUGAUGAUAUCAUUGAGCCGAUAGGGGCACGUACGAGGUCUUGAUGCUGUGAGCUUAUUUGAUUAAGUUAAUGGGUCAAAGUUAAUGGUCCCUCACUGUGUUGCCUUGUCUAAGUUCAAUACACGGUCAUGACAUUGAUUAGAUUUGUCAGCUUAAUCAGCUUGUAAGUGGUAGGCAAAAGGUCCGUGUUUACUGUGUUCUAAUCUUUUAGAUUAAUAGAUUGAUGUCAAUGCCCUCUCAUUCAUGUUACCUUGUCUAAGUUUAAUAGACUUAUCAAGACAUUGACUAGAUCUAUUAGUUUAUCAGAUGUGUGCAUGGAGAGCAAAGGCUCCCUUUUAUGGCUAUUGCUUUACAUUGCUUUAUCUUAGCCCGUCGACUCUUAUAGCCGAUGGCACAUGCCAUUAAUGCUUUGUUUAUUUACACUGCAUAAUUACAUUGAAUAUCUAUCUGUCAUGGUGUUUAAUCCAAGAACGCCUACCCAUGAGUUCAAAAGGCUUCGCCACUGAUCGGCUCAGAAAUUUAAUGUCCACCUUGUCAAUUUUUAGGUCAAAUUGACCGGCACACCUUGCACCACUCGUGAGCCGAUUUGGAGCCUGCAUUGGAGUUAAGCAGAUCUCCUAGGUCCUCCGUGUUGUUCAACACAGAAGCCUGAAGUCCAGUUUUUGCGUUAACACUACAAUCAUGGAGGUUAGCUACUUAACCGAGGGGGCCUUGGAGAUUUCUCAUCACUAACCUGAAAUUGAGCCCCCGGCCUUUUGGUUGGUGGCGGCAAGAGAUGUCGCCUAACCUUGCUGCCUCCCGGAGACAAACUGAAGAACCCGACCAGCUCCUUCUCCAUAGGAUUGAGAGCCGGCUUGAUUCCCUUCCCGCUUUCGCCAUUCGGGGUUCGCACCCCAAACACCUCAAAGUGGGAGGCCGGUCCGACGAGUAGGAUGCUGACCUGCUACUGCUGUUGCGUCCUCCGAUCUUCAAUGGCCCUGGGAUGUCAAUCCCGUGGGGUGGCUAGGCCUUCGCCGGCUCCUUGGGGUGAAGAUCACCCGUUGUCGGCCUUCUGUAGGGGCUUGACACGUGCACCCUUGAUUUUGGGGUCUUCCUUGGCGAGGGUGAGCGUGCAGUCGAGCGGGAGGCCGAGGCGGUGCCGGCCUGGUUCGAUCGAAUUGGGGGUUCGGCCGAACCCCUAGUGGCACCUCUCGCGCUCCCGCUUCUCCCCUCAGGCGGUAGGACGGCCAGGGGCUCGAUGUCGACUGCCUAUACAGCCUGCAUCGACAAAUCGCCGACGGGGAUGAUGGAAUUUGUCGAGUAAUCUCCCUGUCGAGAUCAAAGGUCAUGCUCGGCUGGAUGAAGGGAACGAGGCCUUUGCCAACCAUGGUGGUGAGUAGGGUGCUACUGGUGUGGAUCUAGGUGGGUUUGAUGGAGAUGAGAGUGGAGUGAGGAAGGAGAGGAGGAGGAUGAGGUUUUAAAGAGAGAUCUCCUCUCCUGUGAUGCUCAAAUCCAACGGGACACUGAGGGAUAAGUCAAGAGACGUUGGCGGAGCGUGUGCGCGAAGGCUGGGGAAAGUAGAGAGAGUGGGCCCAACCACUAUAUGUGCUGGGACUUUGGUAAAAGCUAGGAUAGAGCUAGGGUCAAUGACAUUGACCUUCUCUUAACUUUACUUAUCUGAGCCCACACAUAUUUCUAUAAAGGUCGUGGUGGUGGACUUACCUUGGCGACAUACCUUGGUCAUCGCGGGGUAUGAUUGCCCCGUGUGAUGAUGCAUUGAUGAUGUGCAUUGUGCUCAUGAUGGUGAUGUCGUUCUCUCAAUACAUUUCCUCCCUCGCUUCUCUUCAUCCUUGAUGUAGCCUCUCGCAACCUAAAAGGUUAGUGUCCCAAGAAUACCCGAAGGAUAAAACUCCCUUAUAAAGUAACCCAUUCAAAUCAAGGAAGCUUAUGAUCCCAGGCAUCUUACGACGAUCCCAUGCUCAACCACAUGUACCUCCUCCUUGCUCUGCCAUGCGAGAUGAUCAAUAAAGUCUUGGCUGCAAGGUUAGUGCACAAAUAUAACUAUGAGCCCUGCAUAGAUAUUAUGAUAAAGCAUAACCAUAUACAACCAUACUCAAGGUCAUCUAUGAAGGAAAACCUUAAGAACGAUCAUACGACUCGUAGUGCCUUAGCACAACGGACGAUGGAUCUUGAAGAUAUGAAGAGUGAGCAUGAUUCUUCUGAUGAAUUAGGAUGAAUCCUCAUGCUCAUGGAGUGGGUGGCUCGAUCUUCGAAUGGGACAACUCAAGGUUUUCCAUGGCCCCAUAGUGAAAGAGAAUAUGUAACUCUAUGGGCCAGAGGGACAACUCCGAGUUCGGAUGAUGAGGGAAACGAGUUUCUUUCAACUCGUCUCCUCCUUAGGUAGAAAGCCUCGCGCUUCAUCGAAGAUGAGUGGCAAAGCAGUCCAGCCUAAGCUUCCAAUAGAAGUUCAUUUGAUAUGAAAUGGUGGAUAUAACUUCUAUUGGGCAUCAAUCAAAGUCAAGGAAUAAGAUAUGAGUUUUGAAUCACUUGAUUUGAUUGGUGUUGAUCGGAAAUCGAGGAUAAGGAUGUGAGUUCGUUUCACUCAAUUCAAUCGGUACGGUCCCUAUGAUCCCUUGACCAAAAAGGAUAAACCCUUAUAGACUACGAUAUGUUGGUCAAUGUUGAGGCAUAUUCCUUAGUGUAUACGAAACACUUUGGAUAUAUGUUACCAUGACACGGGAACAUGAUGGGCUUUCUACAGUACCUCUUCCAAGAAGUUGUGGUUGAAAUAGAUGAGUCAUUAAGAAUGAUCCUCUUCUUCCAACUACUCCUUCCUCACAUGUCUCGAGGAGAAUUCAGAAGAAAGCAUGGUAAGGGAAUCUGGGGGUAGGAUUCGCACGAGGUGCUCUUUCCCCAAGAUUCCUGCUGUUCAAGAGAGAGGUAUGUUCAACAGAAUUUUAGAUAUAGUCGAGAUGAAAGCUCGAACUCUACUGAUGAAAGACCUUGGUUGCUCGAUGCGCUCUCCUCCUAACGGGGAAUCAUUCUGCAGAUCGACUGGGGGAGUAGUCUCUCGGAUGCGCUCUAGGAUUUCCUUCCCUUCCAUCGAAUCCUUAAGCAAGAACGAGCCUUCGGAGAGGGCGUCAAGCUGCAGGCCAGCGUCCAUGGAUAAUCCUAACCGAAAGUGUUGAAGCAACACAUGCUCAGGUAUGGACAAGACUGGGCACAUAUGCGUAAGAGCAGAGAAACGAGCCCAUGCUGCGCCUAGCGAUUCCUGCUCUUGCUGCUUGAAGCGGAGGACCUUAACUCACAAAGAAGCGAUGCGAGAUAGAGGAAAGAGGGAGAAGCUAAAUCUUGCCCUCAGCUCUUCCCAAUUAUCGAUCACACUCUCCUCUAGGCGAAGGUACCACUUUCUCUCUCCCCGAGAGAGAGAGAAAGGAAAAGCUUCCUCUUGAGAGCGUCCUGUGUCAAGCCGGAUAUUCUCUGACAAGAACACAAGUGCUCAAACUCUUGUAGGUGAUGAUAGGGAUCCUCAUAACUUAACCCUGAGAAGGAAUUUUGCUGAACUAGCUCUAUGAGUGAGGGAUGAAUCUCGUAGCCGGAUGAGGAAUUGGGUUCCAUAAAGGAUGGCUCUAAAGACUCACCCCUAAGGGUCGAAAGGUAUGUACAAGGAUAACCUUCCAUGGAUAGCGGGGGUAGAGGUAGAAACAAAGAAAAGCAAAAGAUAUGAGGAUAACUAGGUUCAUAUAUAAACAACAACCGUUCCCCAACAACGGCACCAGAAAGCUUGUUGGUAUAUUUAGCAAUAGAGAAUGAAUUCGCAAGCGCACGGAUACCGUUGUAGCUUUCACCUCAGAGUAUUCCAAGGGUAUCGAAUCUAGGGGAACGUGUGUGUAUACCUAUGGCACUAGUAUCCAAGAACAACCAACCAAUGGUAGGUGAAGGAUAGAGAGGAUUCCUAUGGAUAGCACUAGAUAAGUUAAACAUUGAUCUCUCGGUUAAGCUACUCGCUUCGGGCACCGGCUUACCCUGAAUUAGUUAGGCGCCUCCAGCCAACGACUCUAUGCUAUAUCCAAACAUGGAGGAUUACAAAGGACUAAUAGGGCUGUCACCACCUAUGGCCUACCUCUAGCUGUUGAUACCGGUUUUUGACCAGGGUCAACUGUUGAGGAUAAGAUUCCAAGAGCUGAUGAACGAAGAGGCAGCCAGGGCAAGUUAGGCGCAUCCGCCAGGGUCAAUGAUGGAAGGAUCAGAGUCCCGGAGCCGAUAGAAGCCAAAAGAGCACGAUGCCGACACGGUGUCUCCACUAAAUAAGGGAAAGCGUGAAGAAAGUUAUCUUAGAUAGUUUUUAGGCAAUAAUUGUAAUAGCUCAUGUCAUAAUCAACUAGGACUUUAGCUUGCUCCAGGGUAUAAAUAUAAACAUGUGAGCCUUGUAAUAGAUAUCUCUCGAUCAAUCACUACAACCUUUCGGUGCCACACUGCCAAACCCUUAGAAGUAGGAGUAAUGUAGCUUUUCGACGAGUUUCUUCUUACGCGUAGGGCUGCAUCGGUUUCGAUACCCGGCGAACUUGCAAGUACCGUCACCCGGUCAUUGCGAUCUAUAUCACAACUUUCUAAGUUAAGUCUUAUAUUCUGUUAUUCGGUUGUGUGGCUAGUUAUUGAGUUAACUUAGAUUGCAAGUAGAACUUUCUAGGUUUUGUCCAAUAUUCUGUUUGUCUUCGACGUUGCUCAAGUUAUUGAACGUUUUAGAUCUGGUUAGGUUGUCUUCAUCGGGUCCCUUGCCUUUUUUAAACGUUCACAGUUAUCAGAUCGUAUCGGCUGAUAGAUCUUGCAUGCUUUUCUUGCGUCAUAUAUGCUAGGUCCGAUAGAUCUUUACCCCUGCCCCUUGUAUUGCUAACCAUCAGGCCUCUAACCUUAGCACGCUGCUAUUGAGAGCCGAUGCUUCGGUCAAAUCUUAUUCGUAUCUCACGGAAGUACGAUGAUGUCAUUGAGCCGAUAGGGGCACAUAUGAGGCCUUGCUGCUGCGAGCCUGUCUGUUAAGAUUAACGGGUCGAAGUUAAUACCCUCUCACCGUGUUACCUUGUCUAAGUUCAAUUAUAUGAUCAUGACAUCGAUUAGACUUUGUUACCUUAAUCGGCUUGUAAAUGGUAAGCAAGAGAUCCUUGGUGAUUGUGCUCUAGCCUUUUAUGUCGACAGAUCGAAGUUGAUGCCCUCUUAUUCGUGUUGCAUUGUCUAAGUUCAAUACACUUCUCAAGACAUUAAUUAAGAUCUGUUAAUGUAUCUGUUGCGUACAGUCAGCAUCGACUAGUCGUUGUUGCUAUGUUCUAGUCUUUUAAGUUAGUAGAUUGAUGCCAAUAUCCUCUCAUUUGUGUUACCUUGUCUAAGUUCAAUACACUUAUCAAGAUAUUGGCUAGAUCUGUUAGCUUAUCCUGAUAAGCACGUGGUUAACAAGGUGCUCCCUUUUAUGGCUGUUGUGAUUAAUGCUUUAUCUUAGCCCAUCGGCUUAUACAACCGAUGGCACAUGCCAUUAAUGCUUCUAUUUGUUUACACCACAUGAUUACAUUGAAUAUAUCUUAAUGGUGUUUAUUCAAAGAACGCCUACCUAUGAGCUCGAAGGCUUCGCCGCCUAUCGGCUCAUGAAUUUUACGUCUACUUGCAGGUCAAAUUGACUGGCACGCCUUGCACCACUCGCGAAUCGAUUUGGAGCCUGCACUGGAGUUAAGCAGAUCUUCCAGGUCCUCGUGUGUUGCCAACGAAUAGUCCGUGGUCCAGAUUUUACGUCAACACAUGCUACAAAUGAUACAACACAAGAGAAGAAGCUUUGGCGGCAUUCUAUGGGCAACAAGAUGAAGGAAAGGUGAAGCCUGCUGCUGUUGCUGCUGCUGUUGCUGACCUGAAGAAUAAAGCAUUUACAUGUAAAGAUGCAAUAAUAAUAGUGCAGUCUGCAAUAAUGUUAGUUCAAGCUCUAGUCUUUAUAUUUGUGGUUUGGAAAUUGAUGUAAUAUUGCCUUCAAACUUAUUAUUUGGUCUCAUGGACUGCCUGGUGGUAACCUCACCAGUUCAUGCAAGAGGUGACUACCAAAUUGUAUCCAGCCAACUAAACAAACUGAUGCUGCAUCAUUUUUUUAGCAUGCGUUUGGUUUUGGGAUGAUGUGGGUUGGGUUGGAGCCGACCCACUUUUGUGGGUUGGAGUCGACCCAUCCCGUGUUUGGAUGGGUGGGUUGGAGCCGACCAAUCUUUUGUUUGGUUGGAGAGAUUGAGAGGGUUGGAUGGAUGUCCUUUUAACACCAUUAGUUGUGGAACCCACCUGUCAGUCGUGGGGCCCACCUGUAAGCCUCUUAUUUUUCCCCCUCCCUUCCAUCUUCUUACUCCUCUCCUCCCGCAACCAGUCCUCCUCCACGGCUCCUUCCCGGCCAGUCCUCGGCCGCCGGCGUGCCGCCCUCCCACCCUGCUCCCUGCAUUGCCGUCCCCCACCUGCGCCGCCGCCCCUGCCUCCCUAGACUCCCGCGCGUCGCCGCCCCUGCCUCCCCAGCUCCCUGCGCCGCCGCCCAGUGCCUGAGCCCCCUUUCCGUGCCGGCCCGAGCAACCCCACCGCCAGCCAGAACCCGCCCCCGCCGCCGGCCUCAGCUCCCUACUCGCGCCGGCCUUAGGGGCCACAGCCAGAGGGUGCCGCGCAGUUGGAGCCGCGGAGGAGCUGCGCCGCCGGCCAUGGGGCAGGCGGCUGCGAGAGGGCGCCGGGCGGACGGAGGGUAGGCCAGCGGUGGGCAGGCGGCGGCGGGGGUGGGCGGACAAUGGCGGCGUCGGGCGAGCACGAGAAACGGAGCGCGACGCCAUCCAACUAGGUCAAGACGGCCCCUUCAUUUUGGGAGGAUCGGAUGAACCUAGAUAUUAGGGGAAUAUUCCCCAUAUGGGAUGAACCCAACCCACCUCUUCUCCAACCAAACAUGGGUCGGAGUGGAUCGGCUCCAACCCAACCCAUUUCGACCCCAGAACCAAACACACGGUUAAACUUGAUCUGUAUUUGUACACCCAAUCACCAUCUCCGAGCAAACCAUGCAACCAAACUAGCUGGUGCUGCAUACGCAGGGCCUCCACAUGGGGCCUCGUUCUCGAGACUGGCUCGGUAGGAAAGGCAACCCAAUCAGGCUUGAACCCGACACAGGCACAACCCAACCAGUAUCGCCCAAUUCAGUGUGAUAGAUUUAGCCCAUUUUAAACUAGGCCUAAAACCCAUCUGAAGCCCAACCCAACCGAACCAGCCAUCUCCCACAGCUCCUCUUCACUCACUGACCACAGGGCUCCAUCAGUCAGUGUCACCCAGCCCGCCCCCUCCCGUCUUCAAAAACCACCACGGCCGCAACUCCCAAGCCCCCACCCUCGACCAUUUUGAACCCAAACCCCUCCCCUCCCCUCGGCCUCCCCGAAACCCCCACUUCUCUCGAACCUAGGGUUAGGGUUUCGUCACUCCCGCCCCCGAUUUGAACCAAUUCGCCUCGCCCCCCGCCGCGCCAUGGCCGCCGGCCCCCUCGUGGUGGACUUCCCCUCCAUGGGAGCCGCCCUCUGCUUCAACAGCCUCGAGUCCCUCCUCCGCGACUCCGCCUCGGGCUUCCUUGCCGCCGUCUCCGCCGCCCCGGCCCCCGGCGCCGCCGACCUCACCAAUUUCCACCGCGUCUUCUCCCGGGUCCUCAGCGGCUACCCGGACCCGCCGCUCGAGGCCAUCUGGUUCUUCUCCGCGCUCUCCUUCCACGACAGCCCCGGCGACCUCCGCUCCCUGCUCCAGCUCCUCUCCGCCUUCACCGCCUCCUCGCCCGGUGCCGCCAAGCCGCUCGCGCUGCUGGCCCCCGUCAUCUCCGAGCUCUUCCACUCCGACAAGACGCGCAGGGAGACCGAGGCCCUCGUCGAGGCCGUGCUCAGCUACAUCAGCAUCUGCAGCAGCCGCCCCGCCGCCUCCGCUGAUGGGGCCAGCGCCGACGCAGGGAGACUGCUGCCUGCCUUUGGGGAGCUCGUCAAGGUGUGGAGCGUGCGCCACUCGAUGGACAGAUGCCCGUUCCAGGUGCUGUUCCCACUCGCUGGAGAGGAGGCCAGGCGAGAGCUCAUGAAGGAAGGCUGCAGCGUUGAGUACCUUGCUGGGGUGGUGGUGGCUGAGGCGUUCCUGCUCAGGCUCUGCCUCAAGGUGCAGAAUGGAACAGGGGUACCUCGUGCUGAGCUGCAGAAGGAGCUCAAGAUGUGGGCAGUCAGCUCCAUCCCGGUCUUCCAGAACCAGCAUUUCUUCGGUGAGUGGAUGGUGACUAUGUUCUUAUUGCUCCUUUUAUAAUCAGCUGUAGUGACUUAACAUUAUGUUGGUGUCCUUGCUCAUGGAUCUAAUAGGGGUCCUGCUGAACAUGCUCUUGAACUCUCCGCUGCCUGUUUACUCACUACUGGUAAGUUUUUCUUUACUAAUGACUAAUGAGCAAUUGAGGAUGUUAUGUUUGUAGCUGAUGUCUUAGCAAGCUAGUAUUAUCAUGAUUUGACUACUUAUUAAGAAAGUUAUAAGUACUAAUUAAGCAUUCAACAAUACAUAUGUGGUAGUUGUAUGGACCAUAAGAAACAAUGCAAAUAGCUUAGUAAACUCAUUUCAUGAAUUAAGAAACAUGAGUCAUUAUCAUGCUUUUUCAUUACUGGUUCUGUAAACUAGUUAUCUAGCAUGGAUUACCUUUGUCAGAUAAGAACUCUGCAACUUGUUGCCUUGUACUUCAAUUGUGCUUGGACUCAGGGGUCUUUCUUAAUUUGUGGAAACUAAAGAGGAGAGCAGAACAGUAUAUGAGUAUUAUGUUUCACAAAAGCUGGUGUUAGUAUAACAUUUUGCUCUCAACAUCGCAUGGAGCGUGACUUGGGAUGGAGUUGUAUCUCAUCUUUGUGAUCUGCACAGGUUGAAGUCUGAUCUGCGGUUCAUCUUAGUAUGCCCUUUUGUUUCAGUUCAUUAUUAUGCUACUUUGUGUGUACCUGGCAAACUAGGGUUUGUACGCCCAAUUAUCCUUGGUUGUAGUGUUCAUUAUCACAAGCCAUGUUAGUUCUCUACUUGAAUUUGGUCACUGUGAGUUAUCUUUUGCAUAAUGUUGUCAGACUGGUUGAAUUUUUGUACUUUAUUAUUUAGGUUUCCUGAGUAGUUGAUUACUUUUUUUUACUGUUUAGAAUCUAAAAGUAUCAUUCAGAUAGCAGACUAGGGAUUCUACCUGUAUUGACAGUGAGUUUGGUGUCAGUUCUAUUAAUACAAUAAUACGCAGUUCUCCUGCGUGUUUGAGAAAAAAAGUUUGUUGUCAGUUGCCCUAUCAGGUUUCUUGAGUCAUCUAAUUUGUGUUGCACUUGCUUUCUGGUUACUCAGAGUGCUGAUGAUGAAAUCUUGGUGAGAGAUGCCAUUUAUGAUGCUCUGAUCUUGGUGGAUUAUUCUUUCAUUAACAAUGUUUCUGGAGUUGAUCAAGCUGACCUCUUGCCUAUAUAUUUGUCAAGAUUGAUUAUCACUCUUGAUGCGGUUAAUGAUGCCAGGUGAUAAAGAGUUACUAUAACCAAAACUUAGCAGGUGUUGGAAACAUCUUCUCAUUUCAUUUCUUCUGAUAGGAGGAAAGGUGAUCAAGGGAGAGCAAUGUCGUUUGUCAACGCCUUCUCAAUCUCGAAUGUUCCCAAUUACCUCAUCAAGUGGGCUACUUGUAAAGCUGUAUUUGGUGCAGUCAGCAAACCAAUUGCCAAUACUCCCCAAGCUCUUCUCAGUAUGUGCAGAUAUGAGAUGACCUCAUUGAUUUUCAAUUAUCAAGUCUUGUGAGGUGAUUACUCAAGUAGAACUGAACUGUAUAAUUUUCUUUUUGCAGAGUGGCUUGUUGACCUUGAAGAUAAGGGGCUCAAAGUGUUUGGAGAUAACAGUUCUUGGAUUAAGGGGAGGCUUAUUUAUGAUGAAGUCAAGAAUGGCUUUGGGAACAGGAUGAUUCAUUCAGGCGCAGACCUUUUCUUCAUUGAUAAGCAGAGUGGUGAGGAGGUUAUGGACACCACCAAAGGCAGUGAGGAUGAAGAUGCUGUGGAGAUGGAGACCACAGGUAAUGCGUUUAUGGCUGCUGCUCAGUCAAUGAAGGUGGAGACUAAUGGCAUACGAAAGAGGAAGGGCUGCGGAAAUGAAGAUGCAGCAGCUGUGAAGUUUGUGAAGUACAAGGUAGAAGACAGCUCGGUUAAAGACUACUUCCUGUCAGCAAACAACGGCAUGAGCAGUGGUAGUGAAGUGGAGAACCCACAGUCCGAUGAUGAGAUGGAAGAAUCAGACUGAUGAUGAAACGAGAUCACCUGCUAAUGCUUACUUGGGAGAGUUGCUUUAGAGAGUUUCUUGGACAAGUGCCUCUUCAGAGCCUGGACCAUGUUGUUUCGGAUGCCGCUUCUUAAUGAUGUCGUGCAGUACCCUGUUUAGUUUCCUGCUCAGUCAUGAUGGGCGGGAGUUGGGGUUUCUAGGAUAAUAAUCAGCAACAGAGGGUCCGUCCCCGGAUAGGCUUUCGGAUAUAUAGUAGUAACUGUUAGCUGACCUGAGUACUUGACAUGGCGCAUGAUGUGUGCUAUAUGCUAUAUCGUGUUCUUUGCUGUAAGGCUAUAAGCUAUAGAGACUUCAAAAUGUAGAUUUGCUUCAAGUACUUCUGUAUUAGAUGAGUAAAUUAAUGUUAUCCCACGGAACCAGUUGGAACUAAUGGAAUCUUGAUGCUUUCCUGUAUAUCGUGGCUUUAUGUGCUGUGUAAUGCGAAAUCCGAAUGAGCCAGUUUGAAGUUCAUCCCCUUUGUUCGCGACAUGUACACUAGCUGGGUCAAUUUGCGUACGGUCGUUGUUUCGUGUGCAAAACUGAGAGCAACUGAGCGAGUACCGUAGGCUCGCUGCUGGUGGAACCGGAUUUCUUCGUUUACGUCUCCUAGCAGCAGAGGCGUUCCCUUCGAAGGGCCCUUUCUCUGUGGACGCGCAUUUUUGACGGGCUCUCAGCUCUGGUGGUGUCGCUGCCUCUCUGCCUGGUAGUCUGGCGCAUCGUUGUCGUUUCCGUGUUUGCAGCGACCAAAUCCAUGGCUUCUCUGUUCCCCUCCCUCUCUCCGUCUCUCGCUCCUUGUCCACAAUCCACUUCCCGCCACCGCCGCCGGCCUCCCUCAACGCCCGCUGCUUCCUCUCAGUGGACUCCUCCCCAUCGACCCACGCCGAUGCACGCCGGAGCGCCGAUUCCCACGCCCGCGCCCACGCCCACGCGGAGGAGCUCCGGCUUUCUGGGCCCCGCGGGCGCAGCAGGUCUGCGCUACCCGCCGCGCGCUCCGCCACUUCCAUCAGGGCCGCUGCACAGCCUGACACGACUCACUGCUCGACAUCUGCUGCCACUGCGGCCGCCUGGACGAUGCCUGGAGGCCGUUCGAUGGAGUGCCGCACAGGAAAGAAAGGCACACAUGCAUGACCCAACGGGUUUGCGCCUGCAACGGCAAUCGAGGCCUGUACGGUGGUGCUUGGCCUGAGACUUUACGAGGCAGGUGCAUGCUCAUGUGGUAUAUCUGCAUCAGGAUUUCGCAUGGCUCGUGUCGCGUGUUCGUUCCUCCUUGGUCAAGGCUUGCGUGACCUGUGGGGAAUGGGGAAGGGGACGUGGGGUGCCUUGCCCGUGCGAACUGAUGUCUCAUGGAAUUCCCUGCUCAGCGGGGCUGGGAAGUGAUGCUAUUGGGAAUUAACUGCUUGAUUGGAACACAGCAUGGUCAGAGUCAUGCUGGAAAGGGACGGUCAAUAGAGCAUGCUCGUGCUCGUUUUCAAGAAGCAUGUCGAAUCUGGCGAUGAGAUAAGCAAUUACUAAUUACCUACUAUUAUGAAGACCAUAGGGUUGCAUGAAACUCAGGUUCUUCCUGCUUUGGUGAUCAGGAGAGGUGCUGAAGUGAUGCUCUUGUGAAUAGUUGCUUUGAUGUGAAAGUUGAUGUUGUUCUAGGUGCAGCACUCUUGACCUUAUGCAUAGUUGCAGAUUGACAUUUUCUUGGAACACACUUAUCUCAGGAUUUUAUAUUGGAAGGUACUGUGAGGAAGGUUUGAAGAGUUUCAAGCAGGUGAUUUCUAAAGUUUUUUCAACUAACAGAUACAAAUACAAUUAUUUAGGCAUUUUUAGUUGUACUAGCUUGAUGGAUUUAAGAUGCAGAGACAAGGUUCAUGUAUGUGUUCUGAAAAGUGGAUUGCAAAGAGAUACUUUAGUUUUUGAGAAUGCUUGUUGACAUUCAUGCACAAUCGGGGUGCCUGAAAGUCAACUAUUGGUAUUUGAUGGACCGAAAGAAACAGACGUGUUUUCAUGGACAGUGAUACUUUCAGGGUAUGUUAGAGUUGAUGAAUGUACGAGGUAAUAGAAUGCUUCCGUUCAAUGUUGCAAGGAAACAAAAGGCCUCAUCACACCAGUAAUCUCCUGAAGUGUUGCUCUGAUUUGGCUACUGGCAUCCUUAAGCUGCAUGCUCCAACUAUAUUAAUAGGCAAUCAAAAUCGUUUGGAAGAAUUUGAAUAUUCCAAUGCUCUAGUUGACAUGGGAAGUGUGAGAACGUAACAGAUGCCGAGAUGCUAUUUCUAUGAGUCAACAUAUGAUGAAGUUGCAUGGAAUGUGACCAUCUGUGGACUGUGGUUGCUCUAACUUCUAAGUUCUAACCGUGGUCAUGCAUGCAAGGCACUGGAAACUUUCCAACAGUUGAUAGAUGGCAGGAAGAGGCCCAAUAUGAUCUAAUUUCUAGGUUUUCUGUCAGCUUGUAGUUCUGCAGGCUAUUUGAUGAAACGAGGAACUACUUUAUACAGUUGACUAAUAGUAGUGUCUACAGAUUACCGUUACAACGGAACUCUGCUUUUAUGGUUGAUAUUCUGGUGAAGGCUGGAGAACUUCAUAAGGCCAAAUAUCAGAUGCCAUUGAUCCCAGAUGCACCCAUAUGGAGGAAAACUACAGGAGCUUGCUAAAGCUGCUAGGUCAUGGGAACAAAGAAGGAACGAAGGCGUAGCUGGAUUAAAAUUAGUGGUUGUAUUAUUGAUGUGUUUCCACCAGUUCAGCCAUUCCUUUUAUUCCUGCAAUCUAAAAUGCUACUAGUGGGCUCUUAAUAGUGUCCACACAGACAAGAUCAGACCAGAAGCAAGUUCAACAUAUUUGUAAUUCUGCGUACCGAUGAACAGAAACAGUAAGGGUAAACUCCUGAACUUCCUAUUUGUAGCAUAUAUAGUCCUUGUUACUCUCUUCACUAUUUUACCAGAUUUAUUCUAGACGCUUAACAUACUGAAUUUCAGCUCUGGAAACUUGGAUACAUAGUUCCCUGCUUCACUAGCAAUGCGGUGUUGAUUAAUAUUUUUUGAUAUCAUGCUACAGUUUAUUGAGUAAUGGCACACAGAUUAUCCAUCUACUAAAUCGCUGCAUUUUGAAUGCAGACUGAGGACUUCUAUCAAGACUUGAGGACUUCUAUCAAUGGAGGCAUACAGAAAUGAUCAGACACUCAGGCCUCUACUUGCAAACUAAGAAUCAAUCACUGAUCAGUGUGGCACACGGAGGGCCUGAUGGUGGCCUACUUCAGUGGAUGUUGGUUUGCUCAUCUCGCAUUUGCUGCAGUCAAAUGGGGACACUUGUGCAGGUGGGGUGAUCAUCCUGUUGACCAACUCAAGUAGAAUCUUUUCCAGUUCCUCGCCGCUAUUCCAUGGAUGAACUUCAGCCUUGAGAAGGUGCUUGUUGCUACAGAUGAGGUUCCACAGGGGGUAGUUCUCCUUUGGCAUAACAUAGUCCCCUUCACCCAGCUUGAGGGAGGGGCAGUAAUCUCCCUUCCCAUCACCAAUGUAUAUGAAAUGCUGGUCCUUGGUGCUGGCUAUUGCCUGGAUCUUCUCGAUUAUCUUGCCCUGCAUAUGGUAAGCAACCUCUUAGUUUACACUGAACAUCAUUGAUUAUUGUUGUUUACACAUCUUGAUAUGGAGAAUGUACAGAGGUUUUAGGAGAAAGAAAAUUACUAAGUUGUCGAGCAAAUAUUCUGCCUAAAAUUCAGAGAUUCAGAUUGCAGAGCGCAUCAUUAUCUUACAGUAAAUAAUAUCGUAGCGAUUCAUUUUUGGAUAGAUCUUGCUUCUUUCUUUUGUCUGCACCCGCCACUGGCCACGUGCGGUGAGUGAAGGAUUGGAAAUCUGACAUUGAAUACCAGAACUGAUCCACCGUCCUACUGUCCAUACCUUGCACAUGUUGUCAGGGCAGAGGCUGCACCCGUGUGGCGCGCUCGCGGAGUCGUGGAACGGCGAGAUCCUGAGCCUGCCGUCGGCGUCGACGCGCGCUGGGUUGGUGCUGAUCUCGGAGAAGCAGCCGAGCACGCCGUGGUGCGCCAGGACGGUCUCGAUGAAGAAGGUGUUGGCGUCGCUGACCACCUUCAGGUCACACCUGCAGCCGGAGCAGCAUCACCAAAGAUCGAUCAAUCCCAAAUGCAAAUGCUACAGUCAAGCCUAGAACUCAUGGGCAUGGCCGCAUGGGGCGGCAGGGCGGCGUACCCUAACGACGCCGCCGUCUUGAUCGCGGAGAUGACGUGCGCGUCGAGCGGCGCGCUCCUGAGGCAGUCGCGGAUGUCUUCCACCGUCUUCCCCCGCGCGUGCAGCUCCUCCAUCAUCCUGUCCUGGAGAAAGUGCAGAAGGAGAAGCAGAGCAAGCAGAGGCAGCGGGCAUCAUCAUUCGUUUGCCCGAUCGAUGCGGAGAUUAUCAGAUGAUGAAGUCAGGAGACGUCUCUUGGGCGUUACCAUGAGAGGGUUCCAGCGCAUGGUGGGGCGCAGGCGCUGGAAGGCGUCGGCGGCGCCGAGCUUGGUGACGACCCAGUCGUCGCUGUCCCAGUCGAUGAUGGUGCGGUCGAAGUCGAACACCACCACCACGCCGGGGGCAGGCGCGGACGCCAUCGGCGGUGGGCGGCGGAUGGACGGAUGGUGAAUGGAGGACAAGCUCUCCCGGUUCUCCGGUGGGACGCGUCUUCUACUUCGCGCCGUGGGCGGCGGGUUGGGUGGCGCUGUCUCCAGGGUCAUCUCGUCUGGUUUAUAUAGCCAGCCAGCCAGCCAUCUGGCGCGUCGCUGACUUGUUGGGGUUUGCGCGUCGUCGCCAUCGCCACAUGUGACGCCUUUUGGUUUUGCGUCUCCAAUUUUGCGCCGUAAUUUUUCUUUCUUUUUCCUUUUUUUUCAGAUCUUUUAUGGAAUUGGAAUUAGAUUUAACUUUAUUAGAAAAUCACAGGCACAGUUAAAUUGCUUGCCAAACAAAACAACCUGUUACAAAAUUCCGAGGAAUGGUCCAGCCAGAUCUGAUGAGGGGCAUCCCCAGCUAGCUAAAAGCUAGAACCAUGGUUCAUUGUUUUGGUGACACAUCUGCCAUCGAAUCUCAAUUGUAAUCUCCAGAACCUUAGCUUCGAUGUUUUCUUGAUCCGGUUGGUUCGCCAUCUAAAGAAUUUCUUCUCUUCCUCUGUCAACUCCUGAUCGAGAUCUAUAUCGUUGCCUUCCCCCUCCUGCUGCCGUUUCAUGCAUAUCCAUUUCUCGACCAAAUGUAUCUCCAUUACGCUUACGCAUGCAAGCGACCGUUGUUGCCCAAAUUCGUAACAGCUACUCAAGUCCUCCCGCCGCCAUGAUUCUUAUUUCCUUUUGUUUUUUUACAUUUAUUAUAGCAUACGAUCCAGUUCCAUGUACACACGGGCUAUAUUACAAUUAGGCCCCGUUUGGAUCUUGGAAUUGAAUUCCAUUCUAAUAAUCAUAAUUUAGAUAUAAAUUAAUUAAGCUAAUAUAAUUGUAUGUGGAAUAUAGUUGUAUAUUAUAGUUGGUGAUAUGGGAGAGAUAUUUAUAUGCUGCAUUUCUACUAUAGAGAAGCGAGUCCAAGAGCGUGCUAUAAGAAUUGAAUUCCAUUCUAAUAAUCAUAAUCUAUAGAAUCAAUUUCCAUCUCCCACCCAUGAAUUUAAGAUAGGCUUAUAUCUAAACUUUGGAAAGUUGUGGAAUGCCACAUUCCAACAUAAAUUAGCCUACUCCAUUAAAUAGAUUCCAAUUCCUUCAAAAUGAAAGGACCCAAACGGGACCUUAGAGCAAAUUCUUAGCUUUUCUCUCUGAAAAUUCCAACUACCUGAAAAAAAAAACUGUGUUUUCACAGAUUGUAAACGCACAUUGUGCCGUGUGGUAUCACGACGUAUCAGGGCUUGACACAAAUGCUACCACCGAGCAAGACUCGUAUCAGUAACAACUGGUAACAAUGAAUCAAUGAUGGCGGAGAGUAACAAAUCGUCGCACCACUCCGUGGAAGAGCAAUGAUUGCUGGGAGGGUGGGAGACUGGGAGUAGUGGCAUCUUGUUCUUGAGCAUUGCAGGCCUGCUAGUUGCAUCACGCGUCACCCGCACUUGUGCGCCUUGCCGGCAGGCGACAGCCAUCUUGAUCUCGCAGCCGAGCCGUUCACUGCUUUCCGUCCGUCCGUCUCCAGGCACACCAAACCGUCCAUGGAUCCUUCUGCGUUCUGACGGCCGGAAAGCAAACCCGGAAAAGCCAAGCAUCCACGAGUUGAUCUGUGCUUAUCGGAUAAUUGCAGGCUAUAAUAACAUGUGUAUGGUUGCCAUGCAAUGUCUUCUUCGACUUUUGGUUCACAAGAAUAAUGGGGAUUGAUAGAUUGAUGGGUGGGUGGACGUCAAGGUAGGCUGAGCUCGUGAAGGAACUGUGUGCUAGCUCUGGAAGAGUGGCCGGUAAGAUAGCAUAUAGCACAACACACCAUACAAAUCUCCACGCUCCCUUUUGUUAUUUUUGUUGUCACGUAGCUGCGUGUCUCGUUGACAAGAUAUAAAGUAGUAGGAUAUCAAAAGCAAAGAACCCUCCAAGCUUAUCUUUUGAUUAAAAAAAUAGUUAAGGUGUCAAUGGUACAAUUAUUUGGAAUAUUAAAUUUUGAUCCAGAAUUUGGAAUAUUAAACAAAAGACGUGAAUGCAUAUAUUGUAGUAUGUCCUGCUUUGGAGUACAUUUUUACAGAUGGAGGCAAAAGGAGCAAUGAUCAUGUAUGAAUGAUUGUCGUUGCAUUUGCAUACGUCUCCGUGCCUCCGUGGCUCAUGUUUAGUGCGAGCAUCUCCCAAGUUCUAGCUUGCGGUUGCUAGCCGCGUGCGCUACCGCUACUGGAAAAAAGGUGACGACAACUUCGCCGGAAGCAGAAAAAAGGAGCAAAGGUGAGGGAAGCUGUGUUGAAAUUAUGCACUUGCACAUGAGUUUGAUACUAUAAGAUCUGCCGUUCUUUUUAGAAAAAGUAGGGUAAUAAAUUAGGACAUGAUUAUUCGUAAACGUACGUUUGUCCCAUUACCACGUAAGUAGGAAGGAAUCUGUUCACAAUUUUAGUUGGGACUUUGUCCUUCAUUUCUCACGUAUAUGGUCAUAUAACAUCCCUUCAACGAUGCGUUUGACAUGCUAUGGAAUGGAAGCGGUAUAAAAUUAGAGACAGAAGUUGGUGAGAAAAUUAGAAUGUGAGUUUGAUUUUAGUAUCAACCUUGUUGUGUGGCAUGAGUUAGGAGUUAAGGCAGAGAGUUUAAGAGGAAAUUUUCCACCGUUUGACGUUUAGGAUUAGGAAUGAGAGUCUAGGUCAUUACUGUUUUGACCUUGCCCAUGUUUUUUUACCUGUUUCCAACUGCAAUAAGAAAGCAGCAGAGUUCUUCUCUAGCGUGAGUGCAGGGGCUACUUAUAGUCUUUGUAUAUUGAAAUGGCCAAACUGACGGUAACUGAAAAAUGUGGUGAAAAUUAGCUAUCAACAUAACCUAAUUGGUGCCGAGACAUAGACGGAAGGAGAAGUUUCAUUAUUAUACCUUUUCUUUUUGGCAGUCAUAAGAGAAGCUUAGUAAAAAUAAACUUUGCGCCCUGAAAAAAAGAAGGCAACUUUGCGGCCCAUCAUCUCUAUGGACCUUCUGGAAUUCAGACCGUGAUAGAUAGACGGGUUGGGCUGGACCGGACAGCUUGCACGAAGAGUUAACCCAGUUAGCACCUACUUUUUUUUUGAGGAAAAGCAGCCUACUUUAUUUAGCUCCCCCCCCCCCCCCCCCCCCCCCCCCCCCCAUUGCAACUGCCCGGUCCAUGUAGCAAUGGACUCUAUCGAGAAGUGUUGCCUAAGAACUUUGCCAAUUGGCCCAUGUAGCAAUGGACUGUGUUGACAAGUGUUACUUAAGUACUUUGCUGACUGGCCAGUUUGACCUUAAUGUAGCUCCAUCAGACCGCCACUGAUCAUGAAUGCCACAAAACUAAUUUAUAAAUAGUGAAGUUAGAGAAAAUUUAAGUGGAGGGUGCUCCUACCUUGUGGAUGUAUAGACUCGAACAAUAGGGAAUUGUAAUUUUUAUCAUAAUCACCCAUUUUACAGUUUGGUCUGGGUGCAUAUGCAUAUGCACCCCUAUGUAGCUUCGACCUUGUCGUAUGCCAAUCUAAAUGGCGAACUAAAUAAUUGAAAAAAUGUAAUCUAAUUUAUUUGUUGCUCUUAUUCUAAAAAAAUGACACGUAAAGCAUUUGCGCUUUCGAAGUACCUACGGUAGUCAGCGGAGAGCCACCCGUUGGGAUCAAGAUCUAUCAACACCAACACUUCAUUGAUUACUUUCGGCAAUUAGCAAGAAGCACGUGAUAACAAAACCAUGCCUAUCUCAUUCUCAUCCACUCCUUUUCCACAAUGGCAAGUGGCAGUUCCUGAUUCGUUCUGCCCAUUCCUACAUGGAACUCCCCAGGAUUCUUGUGUGAUAGGCCACUGGGGCCCUCCAUGCGCCACGUCAGCUGCCAAGCCAUCCCAGCAGGGACCAUCCGGCCAAUCCCAGCCCAGCAAAAGAUGGCCUCCUAUCCAAUCCACAUGUAUAAAAGCAGAGCAGCUGCCGGUGUUCCGACACAAUCAUCACACCAGAACACAAACACAGAGCAGAGCAUCACAGCAAGAGGAGUGAUCUGAUCGAGAUGGCCGCCGCCACCAUGGCUCUCACCUCCCGUGCGCUCGUCGGCAAGCCGGCGGCCAGCACCAGGGACGUGUUCGGCGAGGGCCGCAUCACAAUGCGCAAGACCGGUGGCGCCAAGCCGAAGCCCGCGGCGUCCGGCAGCCCGUGGUACGGGCCCGACCGCGUCCUGUACCUCGGCCCGCUCUCCGGCGAGCCCCCGAGCUACCUGACCGGCGAGUUCCCCGGUGACUACGGCUGGGACACCGCCGGGCUCUCGGCCGACCCCGAGACCUUCGCCAAGAACCGCGAGCUGGAGGUCAUCCACUCCCGCUGGGCCAUGCUCGGCGCGCUCGGCUGCGUCUUCCCCGAGCUGCUCGCCCGCAACGGCGUCAAGUUCGGCGAGGCCGUCUGGUUCAAGGCGGGUUCCCAGAUCUUCAGCGAGGGCGGCCUUGACUACCUCGGCAACCCGAGCCUGAUCCAUGCGCAGAGCAUCCUCGCCAUCUGGGCCUGCCAGGUCGUGCUCAUGGGCGCCGUCGAGGGGUACCGCAUUGCCGGCGGCCCGCUCGGCGAGGUCGUCGACCCGCUCUACCCCGGCGGCAGCUUCGACCCGCUGGGGCUCGCCGACGACCCCGAGGCCUUCGCCGAGCUCAAGGUCAAGGAGCUCAAGAACGGCCGCCUCGCCAUGUUCUCCAUGUUCGGGUUCUUCGUGCAGGCCAUCGUCACCGGCAAGGGGCCCCUGGAGAACCUCGCCGACCACCUCGCCGACCCCGUCAACAACAACGCCUGGGCCUACGCCACCAACUUCGUCCCCGGCAAGUGAGUGAGCGAGGAUGGGCAUGGGUGGAUGACGCGCACGGCGAGGUGAAGCGACCGGCCGGGGGUGGGGUCGCCGUAGACGUAUGUAUUCGUAUGUACUGCAACGUGUACGAGUAUUUGUGAAGGAAGGAAGC